GCCGCUAUUCAGUGACUGCAAAAAAUCAUGGUCCCAAAUUGAAGGUUGGUAGUUUGCUGAUCUCCUGUCAACUGUCAAAUUAUCAUAUUUGGCGCUGACAAGGCAUUGGACUGGCUUAUUUAUGGUAAUGAUUCUAGUGGCUGCUCGAUUUGUUGCAAGAGGAGGACAUUUGAAACCAUUUACAGAGGUAAACGAGGUUGAUGGAACAAUGCAAGAAGACAUUGGACAUACAGAUGUAGUGUAAGCUAGCUUACAGUUAUACUUGGCAAAAAUUCUCAAAUUAAUCUAUGGUUUGCGGUUAUGCACAAGGUUAUAUAUAUAUAUAUAUAUAUAGGCAGCGGAGAAGUGCAAGCGAUUUAUUUUUCUUAUUCAUUUUCCCUGAGAUUUUCAAAGCAUGUAAUUUGUAAGUCUUAGUUGGACAAAGAUAUUAUAUUCAUUAAAAAAAAAAAAGGAGUACAUCUUCCCUCUGUUGAGGGAAUUCUAACGUGCCAGCAAGUUCAAAUAUGUACAUUCGCUGGCAUGUUUUUUUUUUUUUUUCCUUAAAGGUAAGGGGGUGGGCAAGCCUAAAUACAGUUUUUACUCCCCUUAUCAUCCACAAAAAUAAACCCGAAUUUUGGUAGAGAUUACAGCUGCAAUGCAACCAACCCGACCACGCCCUUGAGGGGGCUGGCUUGUUGUAUAAUUGUUAUUUAUUUGUCAUUUUUUUUCGCUACAAAUUUUUUUAAAGAGUGUUUCUAUAAGCCAUAUAAUUAUAAUAAAUACACAUAUUAAUGACAAAAAAAAUUCAUAAAUUUAACUUUGCUUACAAAAGUCCUAUUUAUUACAUUAAAAACUUGUUUUACGUACUUACAUAAAAAUAAGAACACGCAAAGUUACAAAGAAUAUCUUAAUGUUAAUCAUUAAUACUCAAAAUAAUCAAAAUUAUAAAAGAAGAUAAAGACCUGUUUUAUUUAACAAAUCUAACUAAAACCUUAUUUGUUAUAGUUAUAAAGUACUUUUGAAAAAAAAAAUUAUAUAUUUCAAAAUAAUUACCAUCAAAAGAUAGAUUGGAUAGGAUAGAUAUGUCUCCCUCAUAUUAGUGAAAAUAGAUUUUUUAGCUCAUGCCUAAGGGCAUCUCGGUUGUACUACAAAUGUAUGUAUCUAAAUAAGGAUAAAUGCUCAUUUAGUCCCUAUAUUUUAAGAUUAGUAUCCAUAUAGUCUCAAAACAUCCCUGCCGUUAAAGUAUUGAUACCCCUACCAUUACUUUUUAUUUCUUUUGACUUGCUUUUACAAUAUUACCCUUUUAUAAUAAUUUUUUUGUGUGGACAUUAAUAAAAAAAUAGUAAUUAAAUUACAAAUUUAACCCUAGAAAAUUAAAAAAAUUAUAUUAAUUUUUUUGUAAGCUGCACACUUGGUAGUUUGUAUACAAUUUUUGACAAUUAAAAAUUAAUAUAAUUUUUUUUAUUUUUAGGGUUAAAUUGGUAAUUUAAUUAUUUUCUUUUUUAUUAAUGUCCAAACAAAAAUAUUAUUAUAAAAGGGUAAUAUUGUAAAAGUAAGCGAAAAAAAAUAAAAAGUAACGGUAGGGGUAUUAAUACUUUAAUGGUAGGGAUGUUUCGAGGUAUUUUUAAAAAUACAAGGACUAAAUGGAUACUAAUCUUAAAAUACAGGGACUAAAUGAGCUUUUACUCUCUAAAUAAUAUAUGUAUAGACUGUAAUAAAGGAAAAUGAGGAUUAACCCUAUCAUUUAGAUAAAUUAAGGGAAAUCCUUUCAUAUUUUAAAAUAGGUCCAAACACCCUACAAUUAUGACCGUAUUAGUUUUAUAUAUCAUUUUACUAUUCUAUCUCUAGUAUUGAUAUUAGUCAUAAAAUUUAAAUAUUUUGAAGAUAUUCUUUUAAGCAAAGUGACUUGUAUUUCCUUAACGAUUAAAUUAAUUUAAUAACAAAUUGCAAAUUAUGGAGAAAAAUUACAAGUAGGGGAAAUGACAUAAUUCCUACUAGUUGUAUAAAUGUGUCCUAAGUGUAUGAAGUCCAAGAUUCUAAAUAAAUCUCUGAAAACAUAAAAUAAAACAAUUGAAGGAAAUAUCCAAAUAUACAUUCAAAUAAAGGACAAAUAGAUAAUUGGACUAAAUGCAAUAAAUUCACCCAGACUACAAAUGAAUAAUAUAUGAUAAAUUAAAGAAAAGAAUCACUAUAGGAAAGGGAUAUAUAAGCAACUACUAACAAAACAAUAAAUUACACGUACUUGCAGCUAUUUGAUGAGAAAUAAUUAAUUAAGAGCAUUAAAUUAGCAUAAGCAAGUGAGCAAACAACAAUUACAAUGGCAACGGUAUGGCCUAGCCUAUGCUUCUCCAAUAAAACAACUGAUCGUGUGCCAGAUUAAGAAGCAAAUUAAAUAUAUCAAACUUGUUACAUUCAUUUAAACAAAUACUUUAUAUAAUUAUCAGGGGUAUAUAUGAUAUUUCCUCUACUUGUAAAUUGUAAUUUUUCUUCAUGUUUUUUAAUAGGUUAAUAAAUUUAUUUAAUUGUUGAGGAUAUAUAAGUCAUUUUGCUUAAAAAAUUCUCAAAAUAUCUAAAUUUUAUGACUAAUAUCGAUAGUAAAAAUAGAAUAGUAAAAUUAUAUAUAAAACUAACACCAUUAUAAUUGUAGUAGAUUUGAAUCUAUUAAAAAGUAAGGAGGGGUUUUGCUUAAUUUUCCUAGACAAAUAGAAGGUAAUCCUCAUUUUCACAUUGUAAUAAUUUCAAAAAAAAAAUCCAUUUAACAACGGUUAGUGAAAGUGCGUUCGAAUUUUUGCAGUAACUAAAAACAAGUCAGAAUUAUGUUAGGAUUAAUCCAUACAAAGAAAACAUCCCAAGUCCUCCGAAGUAAUAAGCAACACACACACACACACAAACACAUAUACACACAUAUAUAUAUAUAUAUUACAAUUUUUUUUUUUUGAUGCGAUAUAGAGUACAAUUUAAUAUUGGUUCAACUACAGAAAUUAAUUGUGCAAGUCAUAAAAAUUAAGAAUGAAGAAAAGGAAAUAUGAACUCAAACCAGAACGCCAAAUGUAGUCAUAUUUUUUCAUGAGGGAAUUCUAACGCGCCAAUGAAUGUGUUUAUAGUAAUCAACGAUGCCGAUAUUUGUUUAUAAUAGUAAUACAGUGAACAGAAACGUGCGGAAGCAUGUGUUUAAUAAUCAACGUUAUAUUUCCAUUUGAGUCAUAGAACACUGGAGAGACUUCCUGUAUAGCCUGACCUUACUAGAAUUUGCAAAUAAAAUGCGAAUGUAAAAUACCAAAACACGUGCGACUCUUCAUCAACAGCCUGUAAAAUACCACUAGAAGAGAUAUUUGCCCCAUUUCCUUGAGAUCAUCUGUCUCGAAACAAAAGAGACUUCAUUGACUUGUAGUCGAAAAUGACAAGAAGGGCAGAAGAGAAAUUUUAGAAAAUCUCUAAUAUACCAUAUCAAUUAUAUAAAAAGUAAAUAAUGAUAUAGUAUAUAUGCAUUUAUUUUAAAGAACAGACAUAUAAUUGGUAGUUAUAUAAAAUUUAAAUAUACAUUUUAUACAUAUAUUAAUUAAACUGAUUUAUGUAUUUUAGUUUAGAAUUUCUCACAACAAAGAACUAGCAUUCAUUUUUUUCUUCUUGGUUUUGCGGCAUCACACACUAUAGUGUAGCACAUGAACCAUAUGCGUAUGAAAAAUUAGACUAGUUGGUAUACGUAAUGUUAAGGAGUCAGAGCCUCUCCUUUUUGACACACUGAUAACAGAGUGCAACCGUGUGUAAUACACAAGCACAUGCGAAGUCAAAAUUAGACUAGUUGGUGUGGGGCUUGUUCAGGAAGCCUUUCUUUUUUUCACAAUAUGAAACAAAUUAUUAACCAUCAAAUCACAGUUUGAUAAGUCUCAUGAAAAAUGAAAAUAAUAUAAAUAAAUGUGACUAAUAUUUUUGUGUCUUUAUUAUCACGAGCCUUGUGGGCAAGGUCGGCUCAAUUAAUUGGGAGCUUUAAGGGAAUUGUUCAAUUAGACCUUUCAAAAAAUUUGAGGUUAAAUAUAUGUAUUAAUUUUACUAAAAAACUAUUUAUUAAAAUCAAAUUUUCUAGCUUUAGAUGUAAAAUUAUUAAUCAAAUUUUUAUAUUAUAAUUUCCUAAUAUAUUUUUCUUAGUAGACAUUAUGGCUAAUCCAUUUACUCUUUCUUGCGACAUUGUUAAUCUCAAAUAAGCUUUUAUCAAUUUUAAUUUUGAAAAACUUCUUUUUGCAUAAGCAACUGCUUGUAGUAUUGUUAAUAAUAUUCUAUAAGUAGCAUAUGCAUUUGGAAAAAAAAUCAAUUUUUUGAAAAUAAUUAAGUAUGUCAAGCGGGGUAAUUUUCCAACUGGUAAAACUUCUUUAAAAAUUCUUAACUCUAAAAACAAAUCUAAACCAUCUAUAUCAGAAAGCAUAUCAUGUUUGUAAAGCAUUUUCAAUAUUAACACAAUAAGUUUUUAAAACAUUGUCACUUAACGAUUGUAAUUUUUUGAAAUUAAACAAAAAUCCUAACAUAUUCUCAUACAUUUGAAAUUGUUCAAAUCUACUUAUUAUUGAAGAAAUAGUUUGAUCUAUUAUGUAUAUAAAAUAAUUAAUUCUGAAAGACUAUUCAAGAGAUAAAAUUCCUCCUUCACCGAUACUUUCAUCAAAAUUGUUUUUUCUACGAAUUAAAUGUUUUUCGUGAAUUUUAGGUUCUAUUUCCAUUUUGGUUGCAAUUUCUUUAGUUAAAAUCAUAAUAGGCACAAAAUCCAUUUUCUCUAUGGCUUUCAAAGAAAGAAAUAAAAACUUUAUGUCGAUCUAUGGCAAUAUAAAUAUGCAUAUGUUUUUUGCAAGAUCUUACAUAUAGAGUUAAUAGCAAAUAAUAUAUCAUACUAAAUAAUCACACCUAAUAUGAAAUUAAAAUUUUUCAAUUCAUAUGUUGCUAAACACAUAGCUUCACUCUUUAUUCUAGAAUCUUCACUAAUUUCUUCUAAUUCAAGUAAAGCAUCUCAUACUUUAUGGAGUUUGAAAUCUUAUUGCUUUCACACUUUCAAUACAACUUUCUCAAUGUAUGUGUCAAAAUAAUUUCACAGUCAAAUUGGGUAUAUUAUUUUGUGAGAUUUUCCAUCACCUCAUUGAAGAAGAAAAAUAAUGAAUAAAUAAGUUUCAUAGCUCCAAAAAAUGAAAUUGAUCUAGGACAAGAAUUAGCCAUGUUGCAAACCACUAAAUUUUGACCAUGACAACCGCUUGAUGUAUAAAAUGCUUUAGAAUUUGUUUAUAAUAUCUUACACCUUGGUGUUUUCCUUUCAUAUUAGAACCAUUAUUGUAUCCUUGUCCUUGUAUAUUAUCAAUGACAAGUUCAAAAAUUUUUAUUAGUUCUAUGAGUUCAUUAAAGAGCUCUUUACCAGUACAAUGGCAAACUUUUAAGAUUCGAAAAAAUAUUCUUCCAUUUCUACUGGAUUUGCUAAAUUAUCUACACAUCUUACUAUAGCAGACACUUGUUCUUGAUGGUUUGUAUCUGAAGUACAAUCAAGAAUAAUUGAAAAUUAUUUUUCUUCUUAUUUGUUAGGGAUUUUAUUAUUCCCAUCAUUGUGUCAAUAAUAUUACAAUUUAUUUAUUCUUUUUAUGAGGGAUUUGUCUAGUCUUGGGAAUUAAUUAGAUUAGAUUAUGUGGAAUAUGGGGGAAUAUUUUUUGAGGCAUAAAGAAGCAAAUCAGCAUAUAAGUAGGAUUACAUAUUAAAGAAUUCUAAAUAAAGAUGAUCAUUGUAUUGGUAAGUAUAUUAAGUAUUUAUGGAAUAUUAGACUCUAAAAAAAAUAUAUGUUCUAAUGAAAUACUGCACAUAUAUAAAGGGAAGUAUUUCACACAUUGAAGACUGAAGAAGGCAUUUCUUAUUUUAUAUUAGGGAAAUAGCCAAUGCAAAGAAUGAGAAGAAAAACUAUUUCGUCACAUAUGAGGUUUCAUAUCUCUAUAAUGUUUUAAUCUUCUUCAUAUCAAGCAUUUCAUUAGACAUUCUUUAUUAUUAUUUGGUUUUUUCGGAAUGGAGAGGUCAUUUGUUGUGUUGAGGGAAUCUCAAGGAAGUAGCAAAUACAAUUGAAGAUGAGUGGUGCUUGCUAAACACGAUUGACUAGGUAGAUUCAACAAGGUGGUGGUAAGAGCAAGAGAGAGUCUGAGACUAUAGAAAUUAAGGGCUUAUUCGGAUCAAUUUCAACAACAAGACGACCAAAUUUGCCUCUGGAUGCGGAUUCAGUGUUGUAAUCAAUUUUAAAAACACUCCCGAAAAUUUGUCCCAACAUUCGGAGAAUUUUCUUAUUGUAGUAAUGUAGGGCCAUGCCUGGUAAGCGGAUCCAGGCUAUAACAUAUUCAAUCACUGUUGGGUAUAAGAGGCUUUGCACACAACUCUGUAGAAUUGCAGAAUAAUUCUUAUUUGAUUCGAAUGCAAAAUAAUUGACUUAUAGUCGUACAAAAGCAGGGGAAGAAAACUGAAAAACAAACUACCCAUUUUCCACUCUAACAGAUCGUGAAUCAUGGAGAAGAAAUAUUUAAGCUAACAGUUACUUUCCUAAUAAAUAGGAUUUAUUUAAGGCAAUUAAAUAGCUAAACCUGAUGACUCAACAAUCACUGCUGCCGAACUAUCAAAAUGGGGAGUCCAUGGCUUCACUGUUAGAUAGUGCCCCAGAAUAGUCUAAGGCCCUUGCGCCAAAGCGAACUCCACAUCCCUCUCUGUUCUGAAACGAACAAGAUAAUAAUCAUUCUCAAGGUCAAUUCCAGAAAGCCCUUGGGUCGAGCUCCAGAUGGUUUCCAAGCGGUUGCGCAGCGUCCGGUAACCUAUGCGACGACCCAAAAGCUUGACCACCACCGUGUAUUGCCAUGGUUUCAUUAGUUGAGCAUGUACUUUUCUGUGAAAAAAAAAUGGAGUGAAAAUUGUCUGCACACUCAAAAACCACAUCUUCCGGUUCAACUGCCAAAUCUUCCCCGCUAUCAAAAAAUACUCCUUCAUCCACCCUUUGUGUUGACAUCAGUUUAUCACGAAAGGAAGGAGGCUGAGGAUUGUCACCAUCUUCCCCUUCAGCCUUAAAUCUUGCUUUGUUUGUGGAACGGUCGUCAGCCAUAGGUGGAUUAGGGUUUUUCUCCAUUUCAAUCUUUCCUCACAUUAGGAACUCAUUUUUUUUUAAUUGGUUAUAUUUACUUUUUGAUUCUUGUAACUUUUUUCUUUAAAUGCCACCGCUCUUAUUUCUAUCCUCAUUUAACAGACUGCGGGUUGCGUUUGUCACUGUUAGCUGCACAUUGCCAUUUUUCAUGAGUAUGAUUUGCCGUAUGCAUGGAUACUGAAAGUAUCCCUUGUGCUAAAAAUGCUAUGAACCAUCCUUGAAUAAUCAAGUAUAACUGCAUGCAGAACAAAUUCAGCCGUUCUCACGUUUUAGCUAGCAAAUAAUUAUCUUGUAGGAAUUAGAAUGAGCCUGACUUAAGUAUUUGCAUAUCCUGAAGACUUUUAUUCCCAAUAAAAGUAACAUAUAUAUAUAUAUAUAUAUAUAUAUCAUUUCUUUUUCAUUUAUAAACCUUGAUGAAUGAGGGAAUUUAUUUUAUUAUCGAAAAGAGAUCCCUCAGAAAAAAGAAAAGCGGAGGCCAACAUCAACUGAAACUGCACUCUCUGGGAAUUCGCAACGCAUCGUGCAUUAUAAUUCAUCAUCAGCCUUUGGUGCCAGGAGAUGCUGUGAAAGCCAUGUCUUUGUCCUCCAAGGGAAUGGGCUGAAAAAGCAAUGUAAAGCCGACAUCGAUAGUCUCUUGGUUUUGAACACCAUGCCCAUCUCCAUGUAGAUACAUAAAAUGGGACAUUCGCACAAGAUUCAAGAGGAACUCAGCAGUUGUUCGAGUCAAGGGAGAGUCUUUAUCGGCUGUGUAUGCAUUCACCUUCUUCCACAUCUGUCUCAUCAUAUCCUUGAUGUGUUCACGAGCAACUUCCUCCGAGGCACCAGUUUCAUGCAUGUAACACUGGAUUGAUUUCGGAACAUCCCCUCUCUGUAUCUCGUCCUGAUGAUUAUUGGGGAAAAAAAAAAUACAAUCAAUUCAUAUAUAGAGGAUUAAUUCAAUUGCUGUCGUCUUAAAAAAAAUAAAUAAAAAAAGACAUACCGAUGAAGUUCCCAAAUCAUCUUGCAGACGGAAAAUCUUGGAUGACCAGUGAACUAUAUCUGGAUUACUUUCUAGAAAUUCCAGUUCCUUCUUAAUGAUUGGAUUUGUACCAGAAAGAUAUGAAAUCGUUAUAAUUAAAGGGCCCGUUAUUGAUACCAAUCCAUUUUCCAAGUAUUCUUCCAGUUUCGGUGUGUACUUGCUAUGGUACCAUUUCGCCUCCACCAAGUAGGCUUGUAUUAAGCCAAGCCACUGAUGCACAUGGCACAGAAAAUAUACAACUAGUUACGGUUUAUAAUUUUUGAGAAAAAAAGAACAUCGUAAUUUAAAAAGGAUAAAUCAGAGGAAAGGAACAGGGAGAGGCGCCAAAUUAAUAUUUGACGUACUGCAUGUUUUAUGCUCAGAAGCAUAUCAAAAUCCUGUUGUUUGAGAACGUAAUAAGCAAAUUCAUUAACAAAGUUGUAAAGGGCAAGAAAACACAUUUUCAUAUAGCCCGGAAGGUGCUUCAAAGCAUAAUUGAUGUCCCACCUGCAGAAAAAAAAAAUCACAUAAACGGUCUAUUAAAUUGAGAAGUACCAUGCAGCUAGGUAGCAGUUGAAUUGUUAAUUUGCCAACAAACCUCGCAACAGCAUCAGUGAAUAUCUCAAGUUCAUCCAAUGUUCCAUAGACAUCAUAAAUGUCAUCAAUCACUGUAAUUAGGGCUAUCGAGAUUGUGAGCACUCUCCUGCAGUAGGCGAAUUGAGGCUCAAACGCGAUCCCCAUGCUCCAUAAGAAGGACGCUACCAACCUGUUCCUCGCAAAGCUCAAUUUCUCUCCAAGACCUGUAUCCUUCCACCACCUUCAUAGGAAAAUUAAAACGAAUAUUACGACACGUGAUUUAUAUAUCUGUAUAUAUAGAAUCAGCUUUCUGUCUGGAAUUCUGAAGAAUAUUUCUCUGAUACAAGCAUCUCAUUUUAUAAAGCACGUGACUUGUGGCUUUACAAUGCAUUUACAUAUAGAGUUAUCUUCUAGUUCGAGAUUCUUUAAUGCAAACGUUUGGAAUAAUUUAAUAUACAUUUAUAUAAAGUGUAGGCUGGUGCCUUUAUACUGCUGUAAAAGGCGGAGUCUGCACUUGAGAAUAAUUUAAUAAACAUAUGAUUAAAUUGUACAAGUUAUCUAUUCGAUAAAAUCAAAUCUUUGCAAUAUAUAUGAGUUAUGCAAUCAAGGCAUAGAUACCCUGAAAUGUCUUUAAGUUCUUCCUGGUAAAUUGCCUGCAAAGUGUUAAACUCCAACUUAGCGAGCUCAAGUAAAAGGUGGUUCUUGUCCUCUCUUUUCUCAUAAACGUGUAUGAACCACCUUGCCUCUAACAUAGGCACUUUCCAAUGCAGAGGGAGCUCCAGCGCCCGCUUCGCUUGUUCUGCUACAAAUACAUCCUCUUCCUUGCUGUUGCUGGUGAUCAUCAUUUCUUUAAGAUGCUUACUGGUGAAUUGCCAGGCCUCCUCCAUGAUGCUUUCUCCUUCUAAGCUGUAAUACGAGGCUUCAUGCAAGCUCAGUAUUCCCUUGAAAUCAUCACAAAUGAAGCCUACCUUGUCGUCUUUAAAACCACUGAAAACCUCUGCAGUGCUCAACCGAAAAAAGAAAUUAUAUUCAUCAAAACUUUUACACAUAUAUGUUAAUUAGAGAAUGAUUUAAGUGUCCCCAGCGGCCUUGUCGAGUUCGAAUUUCUCAGGAGAUAGAGAGUUAAAAAAUUGAUUUGGGUUUUGCCCACUUUUUUACAUUUAAAAGGAAUGAAUAAGAUAAACAGAGAGAUCGAUUCAAGUAUUCGGAUCUUGCAUGUGCAUGACAGAGUAAGCGAACUAAUGAAAGGUACCUUGAGAAACAGGAUAGCCAUGUUGUCUAAGAAGUCUGAAUUCAAGGGAGGUUGCAUACAGAUUUUCUUUUCUCCAAUUAUAAUCUUUAUUAUGGUUGUGGAUAUUACGCAAUAUGUUCCGAAUCUCAGGCUCAAAAUGAUAAGCCAAUCCAAGUCUUUGCAAAUUAUCAAUCAGCUCCAACUGAUCCAGAGGCUCGGUUACAUCCUUAAUCGCUGUCUUCACUUUUCCCUUCAGCUCUUCUGCUCGUCUUUUGUAUGUUUCAUCCUGUACAUGCACAGCAUUUAGUUUUUAGUUAUUCAUGGUCCUAAUUUGAAAUGAACAAGGGAAAUUUAUACGUAAUAAUAAUAAUAAUAAUAAUCAAUACCGUAUAGUUGCUAUUCAGUGACUGCAAAAAAUCAUGGUCCCAAAUUGAAGGUUGGUAGUUUGCUGAUCUCCUAUCAACUGUCAAAUUAUCAUAUUUGGUGCUGACAAGGCAUUGGACUGGCUUAUUUUUUGCCAUGAUUCUGAUGGCUGCUCUAUUUGUUGCAAGAGGAAGACAUUUGAAACCAUUUACAGAGGUAGCCAAGGUUGAGGGAUUAAUGCAAGAAGACAUUGGAUAUACAGAUGCAGUGUAAGCUAGCUUACAGGUAUACUUGGGAAGGAUUCUCAAAUUAAUCUAUGGUUUGUGGUGAUGUACAAGGUUAUAUAUAUAUAUAUAUAUAGGCAGAGAAGAAGCUCAUGUGAUUGAUUUUUCUUACUCAUUUUUUCUGAGUUUUGAAAGCGUUUAAUUUUUAAGUCUUAAUAGUACAAAGAUAUUUUAUUCUUUUUUUUGUGGGGGGGGUACAUCAUACUGUGCGAACGAGGUCAAUAUUGUACCAGAAGACACAUACAUCAUCCAUACAUUCGGAUGAAUGUUGUAUAAUCUUUUUUUAUUUAUCUUUUUUUUUCCUGCAUACAAAUUUUUUAAAGAGUCUUUCUAUAAACUACACAAUAAAUGCACGCAGAAAUAACAAGAAAUUCAUAAAUUCAAUUCUACUAAUAAAAGUUCUAUUUAUUACAUUAAAAUCUUGUUUUGUGGAGAAAUAAGAAUAUACAAACUAAGUUUAAGGAAAAAAAGGCAUACAAAGUUGCAAACAAUAUCUUAAUGUUGAGGACUAACAUCGAAAUUCUAUUUGUUACAGUUAUAAAGUACUUUUGCGGAAAACAAAUUAAUAAAUUACAAAAUGAUUAUCAACAAAAAGUAGAUUGGGCAGGUAGAUGUCAACUCAAAAGUUAGUGGGAGCAGAUUUCCGGGCUAUAUAGUACAAAUGUAUGUAUCUACUGUCUAAAUAGAUAAUGGAUUUUAAUGUAUCGGUAGAUUGUGAUAAUUUGUACAAAUUUCAGAAAACUUCCAUUUAACAACGGUUGCUGAAAGUGUGUUGUAAAAUAAUUUUAAUAUUUGACAACAAACGAAAGAAUGUUGUCAUAAACUCUUCAAUGGGCUUUCAAUUUCACAACGUCCUACAAAAGCGCGUUGUGAAAAAAAUUCUAAUAAAUGACAAUAGGUGUAAAAUCGUUAUAAAUUUUCAACUCAUCCAAUUCAUGAAUUAAUGAAAUUAAUCCAAAUUUAAUUCAUAACUCUAAGAAUUAGAUGUGGAUUUGACAUAAUUUAUAUCCCAUUGCACUUUUGCGAAUUCGAUAUCAAUUAAAAAAAAAUUCUUUCUAUCCAUUCAUAAAAUAAUUAAAUAAAUAUUUUAAUACAAAAAUAAUUUUAUUACCAAUCAAAUUCAAAUUUAAAAAUAUUAAAUAAAUCAAUAGUUUAAGUACUUGUUUAGGAACGCGAUAUAUCACCCAGCAUCUGUUAAAUCAAUCAACGUACGUUCCUAAAGAAGCAUAAUUUUGAAGCCAUAUACCAUUUCAUCUUUACUCCCUAUUCUUUCUUUAAAAAAACUAUGAAAACGCUGGAGUAAUUGGUUUCAACUUCCGUGUAGGAUAGAUGGGACGUGAUGACACGUAACGACCACUUCUGAAAAACCAUUUGUUUUUUAAGGAUGCCAUUCAAAGUUUCGAACUUUAGCCCACCAAAAGAAAAAAUCUUGAUGUUUUAGAUCAAUGAAUGAAAACUAACUUAAAUUUUAGAAUUAAAUCAAUACAAAAGUUGAAAAUUGAAAGCUUACAUAAUUAAUUGUUGUCAAUGUCCACCCUAACUAAAUUUUAACCUAUUUAUUUAUUAAUAGUAUAACAUUUUUAAAUUAUAUAUAUAUAUAUUCGAAUUUGCUGAUUUUUACGAAUUUGUAGAAGCAAAUCUAUUUCUAAUUCAUUGACGGUGGAUUUUUAAAAUUUUUUAAUCUAAUCCAAUCCAUCAAUCCAUGGAUUAGAUUUUUAUGGAAAUGAUUUUUACAGAUUGAAUGAAUGAAAUGUUAGAAAAUCAAUGGUUGAAGCAGGACUACAGCUAAAAUGAAUUGGAAUAAAAUAAAGAGCAAGCACACAUAGAGGACACAAAAAAUUACAUGGUUCGGUUUUUAGCCUACAUCGAUGGGCGAAGAUAGAAGAAAAAUAUUUUACUAGUGAAAAUAAAUUACAAAUAUUGUGGUAUUUUAACUCACUACCCAAAACCUCAAUACCCCCAAACUCUCAAAUCACUAAUAACACAAGAGUUAUUUAUUUUUCUUCUCAAAAUUUUCUGCAGCACUACCAUUUUUCUUACAUUUCAGUUUCUUGAAUGUCAAAGUCGUGUGCCGCCAAUUGUACUUCUUCAAAGAUGCUGCAGCCCUCUUUGAUUUUUCUUUGUUCAAAAUGAGCUGCUUCGAAAAUUUGGUAGCUAAUUUUCUUGACAUUCUCCCACUUCAAUUGUCAUAUUGCUUACGUCUCUGCUAGGUCACAAGCAAAUCUACUCCAUACAAACUUGUCAACAUUGAUUGGCUUGGUAAAACAUCUGCUAGGUUCUCUUUAGUAUGAAUUUUCUGCAAAUCCACACUUUCGUCUUCCAUUACAUCUCAAACAAAGUGGUAUUGUACCCCUUGUGCUUUGUCCUGGAAUGAAAGGUUGGAUUCCUUGCAAUGUGCAAGACACUCUGACUGUCACAAAAUACAGAAAUUUUCUCUUGUUUGUGUCCGAGCUCCUCCAAUAAUCUUUGUAUCCAAAUAGUUUCCUUGCAAGCUUGUGUAGCUGCCGUGUAUUCUACUUCUAUUGUAGAUAAAACCACAAUGGUCUGUAGUUUUGAAACCCAACUUAUAGCUCUUCCUGCAAGUGUAAACAUAUAGCCAGUAGUGGAUUUCCUUUUAUCAAGGUCUUUUGUAAAAUCUCAAUUCAUUUAGCCCCUGACAAUAAACUCUGAUCCUCCGUAACAUAAUGCAACAUCUGAGGUUCCUCUGAUGUAUCUCAAAAUCCUCUUCAUAAUUUUCCAAUGUUCAACACUAGCAUUCGCCAUGUGUCAACUAACUACUUUUAUUGCUUGUGCAAUGUCCAUUCUAGUACAUAUCAUCGAACAUUAAACUUUCCAUUGCUGAUGCAUAUGGUACUCGAGACAUUUCCUUGCUCUCUGCUUCAUUGCUUGGACAUAUACUUGAGGAUAACUUGAAAGUAAUAGGAAGUGGGGUAUAAAUUGGCUUACAAUCUUGUAUGUUGAAGUGCCACAAGAUUUUCUCAAGUAAUUCUUCUGAAAAAGCCAAAUCUUCCUAUUAUUUCUGUCUCAGUAAAUUUGCAUCCUUAGAAUCUUGCUUGCUGGUCCUUCAUUUCAAACUCCCUAGCCAAUUGUGCUUUUAAUUCUUAGACUUGAUCUUUGUUGGGGCCUGUUACCAACAUGUCAUCUAUGUACAAUAGCAAAAUGAUGAAAUCAUUAUCUUCAAACCUCUUGUAAUAUGCACAAUGGUUUGAACUAAGUCUGUUGUAUCCAAGCUCAUGAUAAAGGAAUUAAAUCUCUUAUACCAACACCUUUGCACCUGUUUGAGACCGUAUAGAGAUUUUUUCAACUUGCAAACCAAAUUCUCUCUGCCCUUUUCAGCAAAACCUUCGGGUUGGAGCAUAUAAAUUUCUUCUUGAAGUUCUCCAUGAAGAAAUGCAAUUUUCAUAUCUAACUGCUUUAGAUGUAGGUCAAAUGUAGCACACAUCGCCAAGAUUAAUCUGACUGUUGUAAGUCGAACCACUGGAGAAAAUAUCUCGUUGAAGUCAAUUCCUUCUUUAUGAGCAUAUUCUUUUACCACCAAUCUUUUACAAUACCGCUCCAUUUGUUCAUUGCCAUCACGCUUGACCUUGUAGACCCAUUUAUUUCCAAUGACUUUUCUUCCAUAUGGUAGUAGUACAAGUUGCCAUGUUUUAUUCUUGUGUAGAGCCUCAAUUUCUUCCUCCAUUACUGUCAUCCACAAAGCAAAAUCUGAGCUGCUUAAAGUUUCAUAGAAAGUUAAUGGCUUUUUAUCCUCUAUCAGAAGACGGCAUGCAACAUUGAUCUUUGUGACAUAAUCUGAGUGCCACAUUGGCGAUCGUCUCUCACGAGUUGACUAACGAACUUCUCCAGCCUCGGACUCAACUGGUUAUUGUUCCUCGUGCUCUGGUGCUGCUUCAGAAGAAUCUGAAUCUUUUUUUCCAGAUUAUUUUCAACAUAUACCAGCACAGUCUUUGACUUUUCUUUUACAGUGCUAUCAUCUUUAUCUCUCUUUGUAGUUGAUCAUCUACAAAGAUAACAUCUCUGCUAAUGACUAUCUUGUGGGCAGUGGGGUCCUACAGACGAUACCCCUUUCUCCAUUAGCAUACCCCAAGAAGAUACACCCAUAAAUUUUAUAUUCAGCUUUAUUUUUUCUUGGGCAUUGUACAUCACGUACACAUGACAUUCAAAUGUAUAUAGGUGGGAGUAAUCAGUUGGCUUUUCUGUCCACAUCUCCAUCAAUGUCUUUAACCUAAUUGAUGUGGAUGUCAAUCGAUUUACUAUAUAACAAACAAUUUUGGCUGCUUUUGCCCAAAAUAAGUUGGGUAGACCAGCAGUCCUCAACAUAGCUCUUAUUAUUUCUAUAAAAGUUUUGUUCAUCCACUCUACCACUCUAUUAUGUUGGGAAGUGUAUGACACUGUGAACUGCUUCUGAAAAUCUUUUUGCUUACUUUAUGCAAUAAACUUGUCAUUUGUAUACUCUCCACCGUUAUUUGUCCUCAAGCACUUUAUCCUCUUUUUGAAUUCAAGUUCUAUCAGCAUUUUGUACUAUUUGAAUACUAGAAACACAUAUGAUGUUUUCUUGAUUAGACACACCCAACAUCUAUUGAAAUAAUCAUCAAUAAAAGGCACCAAGUACUUUGCACCUCCCAUGGACAUGUCUGGUGAUUCCUAAAUAUCAGAAUGAACCAAGUCUCAAAUGCAUUUACUUCUAGCAAUAGAUCUGCUUAACUUCAAUCUAUGCUGUUUACUUUUAACACAAUGCUCGCAAAACGAUAAGUUUACCGAUUUGAGACCUGGAAGCAAUUUUUACUCAGAGAAAAUAUUCAAACCUUGUUCUGACAUUUGGCUAGGCUGGAAAUGUCACAUCAUCAUCACUCUUCUCCAUUUGAUGCGACACACACAUUAACUUUCUGUAGUGUUUUCCCUUUAAGCAUGAAUAAAUUAGCACUAAUCAUUUCCGUCUUCAUUAAUACAAGUGCACCUUUGACUAUCUUCAUGAUCACAUUUUCCACAUGAGUUUUGUACGCAUGACUAUCUAUUUGUCCUAAGGAUAAUAGAUUUUUAUUCAGGCCAUUGACAUGUCGUACCUCCUCAAUUGCGCGAACCGUACCAUUAAACAUUUUUAUUUUAACAGUGGAACAGCUCUCUCCGAGAGGUCAUGUGUUAGGUAGCUCUCGAUUCUAUAAGCCAGACAUUAUAUAGUUGUUUUCUGCCUUUUAAAAUAGUUGUUGCCUUGCUGUAGAGAAUUUCGCUAUCAUUUAAGGUACUUACUACACACCCCUGAGCAUUUGAUGAUACAGGAACUAUACCCUCUCUUCUCUUCUAGUUGUUCCAAUAAUCUUUUUUGACACACCAUUUCUUACCACAAUUGUAGCAUUUGACAUUAUUCUUACUUCUUGAUUUUGAUCUACCAUGAUUGUGACUCCUAUUGGGACCACGUUCCGUUGGUCUCCCUCUUAUCACCGAUAGUACUUCCACUUGUUGCGAACUUGCUUGCCUAUCUUCCUUAUUUUUCCGCAUGCUCUCAUUUAAUAUGGAGGCUGCAACAUCAUCGAAAGCUACACUGUUUGCUUGGUUGUUUGUCAGAUUAAUGAUGAGUUGAUAUGUGAAAAUAGAGUCUUCAAGGUGUUGAUAUGGUCGAUCACCGAUGUAAAUUUCGCUAUUCGAAGAGGAUAAAGUCUCUACUUUAAGAAGAUCAUAUUGUGCAGUGACUUGACCUCGUACAAUUUUGUAAGAGUAUCCCAUAUUUCCUUAGCUAUCUUUUUCUCUGCCAUACUAGAUAACAUCCCAUCUGCAAGUGCCAGGUGUAGAUCAGCAAUUACAUUACCGUCCAUCUCAUUCUACUUGUCAUCAGUUAUAUUUGUGGGUCUUUCUCUAAUUGUUGCUAAGCAAUUAGUUUUCCUCAAUACAACCUUCAUCUUCAUUUUCCACAACGAGAAAUUAUUUUCGCUGAACUUCUCAAUUUCAUAUUUUACUGUCAUCACUUUUUACAAUGAACUACUUUAGUUAGAAUUGGCUCCCACCAUUUCACGAGAACAAUAACUAUAUAUAUGAACAAUGUCGUAUAUAUGAACAAUACUCUAUAUGUGAACAAUACCCCGACUCUAAAAAUACAACCAGUAGCUCUGAUAUCAGUGUUAGAAAAUCUAUGGUUGAAGCAGGGGCACAACUAAAAUGAAAUUGGAGGAAAAUGAAGAAUAAACACGCACAGAUGACACAAAAAAUAACGUGGUUCAGCUUUUAGCCCACGUCCACGGACGAAAAUAGAAGGAAAAUAUUUUACUAGUGAAAAGCAGUUACAAGUAUUGUAAUAUUUUAACUCACUACCCAAAUACCAAUAAACUCAAACUCUCAAAUCACUACGAACACAAGAGUUAUUAAAACACAUGAGUUAUUAAAACUCUAUACUCUCAAUUCUUAGCUCUCUAUAAGGAAGAAGAAAAUGAGAUAAAGAAAUUGGAUGCCAAAACCAAAUGGGGAGCUCUCUUUUUAUAGCCAAAAUUGGCUAUUAUUUUAUUUAUUUUUCUUGUCAAAAUUUGCUACAACACCACUAUUUUUCUUACAUUUUGGCUUCUUCAAUGUCAAAACCGUGUGCUGCCAAUUUUACUUCUUCAAAGAUGCUGCAGCUCUCUUUGAUUUUUCUUUGUCCAAAAUGGGCUGCUUCUAGAAUUUAGCAGCUACUUUUCUUGACAUUAAAUAAAUAGAACACUCUAGCACGUUGUUAUAAUCAUGUUGCAGAUAGAACACUCUAACACAUUGUUAUAAUCAUGUUGCCUUGACCUUAUUUUCUUGAAGCAUGUUGACAAAUACAAUAAUGUGCAUUUGGAGGACUAUUAUGAAUAUAAAAACAAUAGAAAGUAUAAAUGACUAAUAAUAUACAUGACUUUAAGUGACAUGAGAUUUUUAAAACUAAACAAAGCUAACACAAGUAUAUGAUCCUUUCAUUAUAAUAUGUCGUAAAAUAAAAACUACAUAAUAUGUAUUUCUUUUAUUUUUUUAGUUUAAUUCGUUCAAUUUCUUGCAGUAACUAAAAACACUUUAGAAUUAUGUUAAGAUCAACCCAUACAAAGAAAAUAUCCUAAGUACUCCGAAGUAAUAAGCAACAUACAUAUGUGUGUGUGUUGUACAAUUUAAUAUUAUUUCAACUAGCGAAAUUUAUUGUGGAAGUCAUAAAAAUUAAGAAUGAAGAAAAGGAACCAUGAACCCAAACCAGAACGCAAAAAGUAGUCAUAUUUUUUCAUGAGGGAAUUCUAACCUGCCAAUCCAUGUGUUUAGAAUAAUCAACGAUGUUGAUAUUUCUUUAUAAUGGUCCUACAGUGAACAGAAACAUGCAGAAUACGAGUCAGGGUGUAUUGAAAAGAAUACGUAAAAACUCUUUUAAUCCCUAUAUUUUGAGGUUAGUAACCUAUAUUUUUAAGAAUACCUCAAAACUCCCUGCAGUUAAACUAUUGACACAUCUGCCUUUUUAUUUUUUAUUCCUUUUAACUUACUUCUAUAAUAUUACCUUUUUACGAUAAUUUUUUUGGACAUUAAUAAAAAGAAAAAAAUUAUCAAUUUAAACCUAAAAAUGAUACACACACACACACACAUAUAUACACUAAUUUUUCUAAAAGCUCACAUAUUGUAAAAAAGUAAUAUUGUAAAAAAAAUUAAAUUACGAACUUUUUUGGACAUUAAUAAAAACAUAAAUAUAUUAACUCAUCAGUAGAAUGCUCUAAAUUUAUUUUUUUGGAUUAAAUUAAUAAUUUAAUUUCUUUAUUAAUGUCCAAAAAAUAAACAUUAUUGUGAGAGAAUAAUAUGUAAAAGCAAGCUAAAAAGAACAAAAAGUAACGGCAGGGGUGUCAAUAAUUUAACAAUAGAGAUGUUUUGAGGUAUUUCUAAAUAUAUAGUGACUAAAAAAAUACUAACAUAAAAAUAUAGGAAUUAAACGAGCUUUCAUCCAAAGAGAAUCCAUGUAUAGCCGAUUUUACUAGAAUUUACAAGUAAAAUGCAAAUACCAUUAGUCUUCUAAAACACAUGCAACUUUUCAUCAACAACCUGAAAAAUACCAUUAGAAGAGAUACUUGUACCAUUUCCAUGGGAUCAUCAAUCUCGAAACAAAAGAGUUUUUGUGAGGCAACAUAUCAGCAUGUAAAAUGCCACUUCAUUAACUAGUAGUUGAAAAUGACAAGAAGAGCAUAAGAGAAAUUUUAGAAUACCUCUAAAGUACCAUUUCAUCUAUGCAAUAAGUAAAUAAUUAAGUGCAUUUAUUUUGAAGAACCGACAAGUAAUUAAUGGUUAUACAAAAUUUAAAUACACAUGUCAUAUAUGUAUUAAUUGAUUAUAUUAUCUUUUGGGUGCUACUAAGUUAUAAUUACUGUAACUUACAGCCCUUCAAAAUAAUGUAAACAGUUGUCAUAGGUGGUAGGACCCGUAUGAUUAUAAAAGGAAUUGUAAAUUACAGCAGCAGUAACUUAGCAAAAUCUUUAUCUCUUAUGCAUUUUAGAAUUUCUCAUGAAAGAGACACAACAUAUUUCACUUUUUUUCUUCUUGAUUUUACUGCAUUACACUAAAGUGUAGCACAUGAGCCACAUGCAUAUGAAAAUUUAGACUAGUUGGUGUAGGGCAUGUUGAGGAGUCAGAGCCUUUCCUUUCUGACACAAUGAUAACAUAGUAUAUCAGUGUGCAGUACAUAAGCACAUGCGCAUACAAACUUAGACUAGUGGUGCGAGGCUUGUUCGAGGAGCCUCUCUUUUUUUCUUUUUUUGACACAAAAUGAAAAAAAUUAUUAACCAUCAAAUUACAAUUUGAUAAGUCUGAUGAAAGAUUAAAAAAAAAAAAUAGAAAUACAUGUGUCUAACAAUGUACAUUUUAGUGUCUUUAUCAUCGCAAGUCUUGUAGGCAAGAACGACUCAACCAAUUUUAAAGUCCUAGGUGAAUUGUACUAAAAUUUUUAUUUAUUUAAGAUCAAUGUUUUCUAGCUUUCUGAAAUGUAAAAUUAUUAAUCAAAUUUUUAUGUUCUAAUUUCAUGAAUAUAUUUUUCUCAAUAAUCAAUAUAGCUAAUCCAUUUGUUCUCUCUUGCGAGAUUGUUAAUUCUAAAUAUGUUUUUAUAAAUUUUAAUUUUAAAAACUUCUUUCUACAGAAACAAUUGUUAGUAGUACUAUUAAUAAUAUUCUAUAUGCAAUCUAUGCAUUUGAGAAAGAAUCAAUUUGUUUUCAAAUAAUUAAUUAGUAUUUUUUCACCUUGAAAUACUUCAUUUAAAAUCUCAACUCUUAAAACAAAUAUUCACCAUCUAUAUCAGAAAGUGUAUCAUGUUUUAAAGUAUUUUCGAGAUUAACACAAUAAAUAUUUAAAAUGUAGUCAUUUAACAAUUGUAAUUUUUUGAAAUUAAACAAAAAUCCAACCAUAUUAUCAUAUAUUUGAAAUUAUUCACAUAUAGUCUUAUUGUAGAAAUAACUUGAUCUACUAUAUAUAUAUAUAAUAAUUAAUUCUAAAGGACUCUUCAACAGACAAAAUUUCCUCUUCACUAACAUUUUCAUUAAAUUUGUUUCUUUUUCUACAAAUUAUACUUUUUUCAUGAAAUUUAGGUUCUAUUUCCAUUUCACUUGCAAGUUCUCUUGCUGAAAUCAGAGCAGACAUGAAUCCAUCUUUUCUAUUUCUUUCAAAGAAAGAAAUAAGACCUUUAAGCUUAUCUAUGGCAAUAUCAGUAUGUACGUAUUCUUUUUGCAAGAUCAUACUUUGUAAUACCCCACCCCGCUGCUUUGACUAAUUUUGACUUGCUUUUUUAUUAUAUAAAAAUGUUGGGAAAAUAUGCUCUUUAAAAGCAUAUGUGUUUAUUUAAUUGUAAUAAACAAAUUUUCUGAUUAAUAAAAUAAAUGAGGUAUUUUAUUCAAAUAUCUUAAUUGCAUUAAUAUUUGUAUUAAAGUCCAUUUAAUCAUAUUAUAUGUAUUUAUGUGAUCACCAUGUGGAUUCACAGAAUGAAUUUAUUACAGUCUAUACCUAAAUAAAGUGCCCAACUUUAUUUAGUUCACAGAAGAUAUAAAUACAAGUUAUCUUAUGAUUAAAUAAAUUUAGUUCGCAGUUGAUAAAAUAAAGUUGGGCACUUUAUUUAGGUAUAGACUGUAAUAAAUUCAUUGAAUGAUUUGUCUUAAUCAUAUAUGAAUUUAUUACAGUCUAUACCUAAAUAAAGUUAUCUUAUGAUUAAAUAAAUUUAGUUCGCAGUUGAUAAAUAAAGUUUGGCACUUUAUUUAGGUAUAGACUGUAAUAAAUUCAUUGAAUGAUUUGUCUUAAUCAUAUAUGAAUUUAUUGAUGUAGUACGACUACAUUGAACAUCAUACUACAUUGAACAGGAUCACAUAUGAGAUUUAAUUAACUUUGUAAUAACUGUCAGACUUAUUAAAUCUCAUAGGUGUUGAUUUUACUGUAAUCUUAAUCUUGAGUUAAUUAUGAUUUCAUGAUUGUAAUUGUUAUUCCAUUUGAGUUACUAAUGGGCACGGCACAUCCUUGUGGUCAAGAUUACCCGGUAUUUUGGUGGGAGCAAUUAUGAGUAUUGGAGUUAUGGAUUAACAAUAUAGAAUUUGUACAACACAUCUCUUGAUGGGUUUUCGGCACUUGAUCAUAGAAUUCUCUGGCCAGAGUGUGUCAACAUAUUUAGUAUGUUGAAAAUGAUCAUUAGAGAAAACCAGUAAGAAUCAAGGAAUAAGAUAUUAUUAAAUUGAUUGAACAGUUGAGAUAUCAAUUUAAUUAACGAUGUGGUACAAAGGAUUGUGCAGUAAAGAAAUCAAUGUGGCUUGGACCGAAUUAUUAUUCGAGCAUACAAUUAUGGAAGUCAGUACCAAUCUUUUAGUGGAGUAGAUUUGGAAUUAAAUAAUUGGGCUAGUUUAAUUACAGGCUUAAUUAUUGUAGCCACUAUUGUAUGUUCCCAAAUGAUCCCCGGGUUAGUUCAUUUAAUUGAUUGCACCACUACUAGACUAAUAAGUAAGAUAACUAGCUAUUUGGGUCAAAAGUCUAAAUAUAUCAUUUAGUGGGAGGCUCUAUUCAAUUAGUUUUUGUGUAAGGGGCCUUAUGUUAUUUUACAAGGUGGGUCCCCUAUUAAAAAAGCAAAUAACGUGGGUUUUGUUUUUCGAUUAUUUGGAGCCUAAGGUUUUUACUAAAGGGAGAUAUAAAAGGCUUAUUUUUCUCUAAAGAAAAGGGUGAAGCUACUUUAUAUGGAUCAGAGAAAAUGAUUUUUCUCUCUAUUGUUGAGAGAAAAAUUUUCUCGUGCUAGUUGCUUUGGUAGUGAUAAAGGCGCCCACACGUCAAGUGCAGAUCGAACCUGAGUCAUAACCUGGAAGAUCAUUGGUGCCAGUUCGUGUUCUAACAAGCGUGGUGGUGACGGAUCGUGAUCUAACAGGAGUGGUGGUGACGGAUCGUGAUCUAACAGGAGUGGUGGUGACGGAUCGUGAUCUGGGAGCCUAAAUCAUUUCAGCAGAAAAAGCUAAAUCAGAUUUUCAAGGUACGAUUUCUAGAUUACAAAUUCUUAUAUAUUAUAUGAGAGCGAUCUUAAAAAGGUUUUAUAAAAAUUAAAAAACUUGAUUUUUCCCCAACAAAAAAAAGGAAGCUGGAAAUUGUUUAAAGAAGAGGAAGCAUAUUCACACGUGAGAAAGAGAGAAAGCUGCCAAAACCGACUCGGAAAACCUAACCCAUGAACCAACCUGGCCACCAUUUCUCGUUCCCGACCACCCCACCAGCAACGGGAGGUACCGAUUAGAAGCUUUAGAACCAAUGGUCACUUCCCCGCCAUUGUUACCGUUGAAUAACGACCAGAACGCCGUCAUUUGGGCUCGCAAAACUUGCAGUAUUUGCCACCUCCAUUCACCGUGAUUUCGCUGGUUUUGGGUGACGCCACCGACUGGGUUCGUUCCUCAGGUCACUACCUUCAUUUUUUGACCACCCACAUCACCAAAAAUAGUUGAUUUACUGCCAAUCGACCGCCAAAGUGUUCACGGCUUUGGGAGCUCAAUCCGGUGCCUCCGUCGCCACCGUUGGAUUCAACGCGACAUGAAGCUUCUAUCCCGACCUUUCCCAUCACCACCGUAUGAAUUUAGAUCACCGUUGGUCGAGGAGAGCAUUUUAGUAAUUUUUUAGAAUUAGAGGGUAAUUUCUUAAAUUUUUGAUUUCAUGAAUAUUUCAGUGAUUUCUGAUUUGAGAAUAAGAAUCUAAGGGUAGUUCGAUAAAUUAUGAUUUUGAGGAUAAUUUGGCAACUUGUGAUUCUGAGAUUUCAGGGGCAUUCUAGUAAUUUAAAUUUUGGUAUUUUUGUAAUUAAUUAUUCAAAUUGAGAUUAAUUGAGGUUAAGUUUAGAGGGUGUUAUAUUGAGGAAUUUGAGAACAAUAGAGUUUAUGAUUUCAUAUGAUUUUAUCUUAUAGGAGUAUUUUUUAUUGAUUUUAGGUCGGUGAUAUCGAUACAUAUUUGUUACUUGAGGAUGCUAGAAGGUAAGUAAACUAGAUUUCUAAAUGAGUCAUAAUAAAUAAUAUGUACAUGUUUGACAUGUUUGAAAAGCUUAUUUUGAUAUAUACGGAUAUGGAUUUAUAUGCUCUGCCCAUGUGUUUAUAUGAUGUGUUAAUAGGAUGUAUUGUUAUGUGUUAUGUGUGUUUAUGGACAUGGACAUAUGUCUGUGUGUAUGUUUCAAUGGCAUUAGCACAAAAAUGUAUUAUGUUUUUUGUGAAAUGAGAAAGCGGAUUUUAGCCAAACGGAAUUGAAAGAAAGAAAAUCUUACACUAUGUAGUAGCAAUCCUUAUGAAUUUCCUCGAGGUGAUGAAUGUUUUCGUUAUUCAAAGCUAGGCCAUACAUUAAACCAAUGUCCAGAACGAAGACAACAAAUAGUCAAUUUGGAAACUAAUGUAGAGGAAAAUGGAAAGCCUAAGGAUGAACUAUAUAAAGACAAUGACGACAUAGAAAAGGAGGAAGAGUGGACAUAUUGAGACAUAUGAGUAUCACUAGUAACACAACAUUCGUUAUACACACAAAAGAAAGACGAAGACACUCAGAGACAUAAUAUCUUCAAAACAAGGUGCACAAUCAAUGAGAGGGUAUGUGAUGAUUAUUGACAGUGAUAGUAGCAAGAAUAUAGUUUCGAAGAUUAUAAUUGACAAGUUACAGCUUAAAACUCACAAACAUCCUUCCCCUUAUUGCAUUAGAUGGAUAAAAGAUGUUGGAGAGAUCAAGGUUACUCAACAAUGUUGUAUUCAUUUUUUCCAUCAGAAGACAUAAAGAUGAAGUUACUUGCGAUCUUGUUGACAUAAAUGCUUGCCAUUUGCUUUUCAGGAGACCUUGGCAAUUUGAUCUUAAUAUGGUACAUUAUGGGAAAGAUAACACAUACAGGUUCUAUAAAGACAACCUAGAAGUUAUCCUUGCUCCGAUAAAGUCAAAUGUCAAGGGAACUUAUCUUUUACUACAAAAGAGAUAGCUGAAGAAGAAUCGAUGCCUGAAUAAGUCCAAUCGCUACUCUCAUAAUUUCAGGAUAUCGUGCCUAAAGAGCUUCUUAACAAGUUACCUCCUAUGAGGAUUACCUAUGACUCAAAUUAAAAGAGAACUUCUAAUGGUUUGCCCUUACAAGUCUACUAUUUUUAGAAGAACCAUACUAAAAAACAAGAAGAAAUUGAAGUUUUAGUACUUUUGAGUUUUAAGAAAAGUUGAUGCAAAGUGCUACACUUUUGCAGUGCAAGAUCAAUUACUCCUUCAUUAAAAGAUUUAUCCUCUAGAUUGUCCUUUAUUUUCAGCAAAACUUGAGGACGAGUUUUUUUUUUCGAAGAGGAGCAGACUGAUGUUGUAACACUCCACUAAAAUAUCUAUUUUAAAAAUGUUUAAAACAUAGUUAAAUAUGAUUUCUAAAAGCUUAACACAACAAACAAAAUUUUCUUCAUAAAGUAAAAGUCAUACAGAGAUUUAAUAGUUUAUUUCAAAACUUGAUUAUUACAUAAAGCUAAUAUGUUUAAUUUUUAUUUAAACAAAGCUGAGCCCAUCUUAAAAUCCCAAGGUCUGUUAUGCCCAUAUGCACUUCGUCUUGCUUAGGACUUGGCGCCAGCUUGCCUUACUCAUCAUUAUCUGCAAUGUAAGGACUUUAUGAGCUAAUGCCCAAUAAGAUAAUACUUUUAUGAAUGUAUAAAUUAUGAUGCAUAUGGAUGACCAUCUUAAGCUUUUAAAAUAAACUUAAAAAAUACAAAACAACUUCAUUAGGGCCCUAGGUAUGUUGCACUACAAGGUUGGCACUUUUACUCUUUUAAACAAUAUGCCUUUGGGCCUCAUUAGUUGAUCUUUUAGGCGUUAUGUAUCGCCGUCCCCAAAAGAUUUUUUAUUAGUUAGCUUUAAGGGCUUGCCCUCCUUAGAAACUUUGCCACCUGGUGGUACAACCACUUAUUUUUCAUAAAUUCAUUUUCUGAAACGCCUUCUUCAUAAUGUAAUCCAUGAUAUGCAUGCAUUCAAUGCAAAUUAUGUCAUAAUAUUUGAAGUUCCUAAAUGCAUAAAAGAAUCAAUACAGAACACUAUUUAAGAACAAGAUUCUUUAAUACAGGUGGCACAACCGACCAUAACAUAAAUAAUUAUAAGUAUCACAGAUUAGGCGACAGAGCCGACCAUAACAUAACUAAGCAUCGUAAAUAGGCGGCAGAGUCGACCAUAACAUAACUUAUCAUCGUAGAUUAGGUGGUAAAGCUGACCAUAACAUAACUAAGCAUCAUAGAUUAGGCGGCAUAGCUGUUGGUUAAUUUAACUCGAUUGUUAUUGAUGUUAAUGUGCAAGUGUACACAACAAUUGUCAAUUUAUACAAAGUUGCUUGUAUUAUUUCUAUCUGUAGGUUGGGUUAAAGUUGAUAUGGAUGGUGUACAAAAUGAUAAAUUUCACUAUUAUUCAUUCAUAAUAAAGUUGAUUGACUAAUAACAUUAACAACGCAAUAAAGUAACGGCAAUAAUAAAGUAAACUGAACAGCUUGCACAAAUAAAAUUCAAUAAGGAUAAAGUAGUUGAAUGAUCAAACUCUCUUCAUGGGCUGACUGUUUUGUUUAGACUAACACCAGUUGGUGCAACAACUCCUAUAGCACUGGGCAGACUUAUGCAACCUAACAAUGACCAGUCGUUAUAUUACGAACAUAUACUCUCUUUACCCUACAAAGUGAAUCAUUAUAUCUAUGUCAUCACAAAUCUUAAUUCAAGUGUGGCCCUCUUGAGACUCAAGUUAAACUCAAUCUAGAAAACUUAAAUUAAGAUCAAAUAUUACUCUAAUAAUUUCCAUUGAGACAGACCCUUUUGUGGCUCUCUCUUAACUUGAACCAUUAAAUGAGAGGUCAAUCGAAACAAUGAUUGUAAUACAAGCUAUUAAAGCAAAAUGCUACAGCAAUGUUGCAGCAACUCAUAAGAACAGUCAAGAACCCAUUUAGAUCGUUUGUCACUCAUAACUUGUAAAAGAAAAACAAACAGCAAAGUAUCAGCCAUGAAAUACAUCGUUUUAAUCAAGGAGUAAGUAAGGGGGCAGUAAAGAAUGAUGAAAAUUGAAUCCAAAUAGUUCUAUAGAUUUCUUCAAUGGUGCAGACUUGUCUCUCUUGAAUUCUGCUCUUUCCUUAUUUUCUCUUGAUUUCUUCGAUGUUAAUUCACCGCCCCCUUUCUAUAUGAUGCGUGCUCCUUUUAUAAUUGAAAAUUAGAGUAAACGGAAGCCUAGGGCACGCAUGAGUCAGAUUAGAAAACUGCAGAUCACGAUUCUCCAAGUAUCCUACGUGGAAUUUUCUCUAUCAUUGUUCCAAGAUUGCUACAGCAAUAGCUACUACAGCAACGGCUACAACAACUGCACUGUUCCAGAUUUGUUUCAAGUCUUUUGUGGCUAAGUUCUUUUCCAUCUUUUACAAGCCGAUUGCAUCAGCAUUCCUUCCUUAAAACUUGAGCUUCCGAACACCUACAAUUACGCACACAAUCUAGGCACAAAUUAUUUUAAAUCAAACAAAAUUUAUUACGACUAAACUAAAAUGAAUGUUUAUGCGAAAUAUAACAAAAAUGCAAUAGAACACAACAUUUACUCUCUAAAUAAUAUCGAUUUAAGUCUAAAAGUGCAUUGAUAACUCUCAUUUCCUAGAGUUAUCAAUAGCCGACCAUAUAAGAAUUUAGAUUAUAACUAAUAACAUCAUAAUAGCCAUCACAACAUAAGGAAAUCGUUAAAACUGAAGUUAAGUAUGAAAAGAAUUUUGUCCUUACAUUGCAGUUGAAGUGUUACUUACAUCUUGGCCUUGACUUCUCUAGACAUUUCUAAAUUAAGGAUUUCUAUACACUUGAUAUUAUGACUUAGAAUAGAAUUCAAUUUUGGCGGGAAAUUAUUUAUGAUAGAAUAUAUGAUGGCUUUUCCAUCAUAAAGUUUUGAUUUUUUUCUAAAAUUAUAUUAUAAUUUAUUAAUGAAUUCCUGUUUACAAAUUUAAUUAAUUAAUAAAACAAAUAUAAUAAAAAACUUAAUAUCAAUUAACAUUCAUUCAAUCCAAAAAUUAAUUUAAAAAGAAAUACAUCUAAUAUCUAAUGUGAUCUCCACCAAUACAUAAUAAAACAUCCCAAAUUGAAAAAGUCAUCCCAAAAUAUAAAAUUGCAGUCAAAUUCCAAUCAAACUCUAAGAAAAGCAAUAAGAAUUCCGGCCACCAAGCCAAGUUACCCAACAAAACUUCCAAAGAUUAAUGCAAGUACUCCAACAAUAAGAUUUCUAGCAAGACUUCCUGUAAAAAUUCCAGCAACAAUAUCAUCUUUCGACAGCACUCUAAACGAAAAUUGAAACUUACAAAGCGACCUACAAGCUUCCUGUGAACAAAAUUGAUUCAAACACCAAGCAGAAUAAGGAAAAUUAAGAGGCUGCAAUACAUGUGGGCAUCAAAUAUAGUAAUCCAUUUGAUUUAAACUGACUUAACUUUUAUGGAAUGAGCAAAAUGUACAUACUCAAUGGAUUAAAAUUACUUUUAGUGAAUGGGAAUUCAUCAAAAUCAGCAAGCUAGCUAAAAAUGCAAAGGAAGCCACAACAAUAGACCAGUGUAAGGAGACAAAAAUAAAUCAUAAAGUCAUAAAAAGCAAUGGCAUCCAGAUCCAGCUGAACUGAUCAACCAAUGAAAAGGAAACCAAACAACCAACUUUGACAAGCUUAUCUCAACCAACAGCACUAAUUCUAGGCCUGUAACUUGCCUACGUAUUUAAAAUAGCAAAUAGUCCAAGUUUAACAUCAAUUUUGACAAGAAACACAACAAACAGAAAAUGUAACAAAAACCAAAUCAGAGGCUAAGCAACAUACUGCAGCCAUUAUGCCACACAAGAACAUAAAUAUUGCAAUUUGUAGUAGCCCUCCAAGAACAGCGACAUGUCCCACUGCUUUUAACUGCAUUGAUGAUGAAUUAUGGAAUUGGAACAAAUUUUAUGAACAAAGAAGGAAAAUGUUGUCAAUAAUUAUCAUACACUUUCCAAGCACAGAAUGAUUUACCUUUUGUCAAAGAAAACUCUAGCCCCAAAGCAAAAAGAAGGAAGACAACACCAAAUUGUGCAAAAGUUUCAACCUGUGAUGAAUGAAACAAAAAGGAACUUGUUACCUAGAAUAAUGAUCGCAAAAUAAACAGAAGAACAAAUACACCACAAGAAUCUCUACCAGAUAAUAACUAAUAGUAGUUUACUGAAUAUCUACCAAUUCACUUAGGCUUAAUGAGCUAAAUGAAAAACUUUUCAUCAGAAAGUUAAUAUCAUAAUGAGGGAUUGAUAGUUAAAAAACUGGAAAAGUUAAAGAGGAACAUAUUGUUUUUUUAGGCCAGGUUUUCUUCAAAAUCUCUUGAUGUGAAAGUUCUCAGCUUUCACAACAAAAAACUAAAUUUUGCAGUGAAGUAUUGUUGGACCGAUUACCAUAGGUUUUAUCAAAUCAUAACUAAAGCAGUACCAUAACCAUUCUCGAAUUAAUUUACUCACUCAGCAUUAUAUCACCUUUAUGCAUCCUUUUAUAUUCAUCCAGUAUACUUCCAAGAAAAUCCUGUCAAAAUAGCGUAUGAACUAAGUGUCCCGAUACACAUUACCAACUAGCCAUUAUUUAUUUGUUUAUUUUCUUUAGCAGUAACUAGAAUAACUAUAGCUAGAAGAAGAAAUAAUCAGAGUGCCAAUGCAUAAACUACAGAAUAUACAUUCUACACCAAGAAAUUGAUUAACUGAACUAUUUACAAUCCUGAAAUAACCCAAGGUCAAGAAACGGCUAAAUAUGCUUCAAGACCUGAAUCUUACUAGCCCAUGUCCAUAAAUUGUAAGCGAAAAUCAUUAAUAUAUUUUUAAACAGUACUUGUAAAAUAAGUGUUCCAAUUGUAACUUGACCAUGAAGAGCAUUAUUGCUGUUCUGUUCUACCAAAAAUUUCACCACCUAGCACAGGUAACAGGAAAAGCAUGAACCAGAUAGAAAUUCACAAGUGGAAGCCAAGAUGAAAAGAGGAAUUCGAUUGUCAAAAAAAUGGUGUAGAAGAAUACCACUGCAGUUGAUGACAUAUAUUACUGGUUUUUUUUUUUUUUACAAAAAGGCUUUAUAAUAUAUAUAUAAAAAAUUGAAAUAAAAAAACUAGAAAAUAAAAAACAAAGCAAAAUAAAACAACCAAAAACCUAAAUCCCCAAAUAACCAAAUUGCCUCCCUCAGCCGCCCUCUCUCUCACGCGAAGCAACAGCCAAAAACCUAAAUCCCCAAAAUCACUCACCCUACCAUCCGUGAAGCAACAACAAACAACAGCCGACAGGCACACCUUCACUGCCUCACACACCUAAACAACAAUUACAGCCAUCACCCAUCAACAACCCAGCAGCACGCGAUGCAGUAGCGACCCAACAGAAUCAGCAGCGUGACGUAGCAGCAGCCACUCCCACGCGACAUAGAAGCAGCCACUCGAACCCCGCGCGACACAGCAGCAAUAAACCCAGCAUUUUAAUACUACUAGCAAAAUGGUGUCGACAGCAAUGGGCUACAAUUUUUAAACAACAUUGCCGGCAUAGUUACAAUAUAAUUGAAUGGCGGCGAAAGGAUGGUGUUUUGCUCGGUCGAUUGAGUGCAAGGUUGAUUUCUAGGGUUUGGCCAUGAGAGAGUGAUGAGUGUUUGGGUGUGAGUGUUAGUGAUUUUGGGGCUUGGUGGGUCAAGACAAUAGUGUUUUUCUUUUCUCUUUUUUUCAUUUUUGAAUUAUUAAAAUGCACCUUUUUUAAAAAAUAAAAUAAAAUAUUAAACUUUAGGUCAAACAUAGUCAAAGUAAAUUUUUUAUCAUAAUUUCUUGAUAGAGAAAAUUUUUAUCACGAUUCUAUCAUAAAUUUGUGAUAAACAAUAAUUAUAUCACAAAACCAUCAUAAAUUUGUGAUAGAAAAUAAUAUUGUCACAAAAUCAUCAUUAAUUUAUGAUAGAUUGAAAAUUCUAUCACGAGUCUGUCAUAUUAUUAUGAUAUAAGUUGAAUCUGUCAUAAACUGUCUGUCAUCUAUUAUAUGUUUUCUUGUAGUGAUUCUCUACCGCCAGAACCUCCUCUAAUUUCUGGCGACAUCCCCACUAAUCAGCAGCCCUCACAACAACUAUUAACACUUCAAACCAUAAACCUUAGACUGCAACAAACCUUUCAAAAUAUGCUCCACGCUUUCGCCACAUUGCCUGCCUCAAUUGGUGGCGAUUACUUGCUGACGGAACCACCAUUGAACCUUAUGUACUCUAAACAACUGUCAGCAGCCUCUCACCCUCCAGCUGCCACCAAACCCCUCAGGCACCAGUACACACGAGCACAACCAAAACUCAGGCACCACUUAUUGCCCACCAUCUGUGACUCCUUUUACCGAGACAAAUCCCCCUAGUUGCCAUAUAUCUCACCAACACCUCGCUAUCUCCCCAUUGAACUUUUCAAGAUCAAAUAUGGUGGUAGCCGUUGUAGAUCCAAGAUCAGCUAAAUACCUAUCUCUGAUACCAGUUUGUUAAGUUCUGAACAAAAGAAAGUCUUUCCAAGAUUGAAUCAAACCAAGAAAAUAGAAACUUAUAUAAACCAGAACAACGAGCAAACAAGAGAUUAAAAGAAAAGGAAAGAAAAAUAACAAGAUCAUAUAACGUGGUUCAGCAACAAGAUGCCUACAUCCACAGUUGAAAUCAGGUCUGCUUUGAAACUUUAUUAGAAAGAUAUGAGUUAUAGAAGAUUAUUGAGAUUACAGAGAUUAAAUCUUCUCUAUUGAGAUUUUUUCUCCCUCUCUCACAAAGACUAUCAUAUCAUCACUCUCUUGACCACAGUCUGCACGCUGCAAUUCCUCUUAUAUAUCUCUUAAAGAGUAAAAGCAUGAGUUGUCAUACAUAAUAACGACUUUAACAGCAGAUGGUCCCACUAAUGCCAGCUCAGCACGCCACCUUAUUCACUCUUAAAAUAAUAUAACUACGCCAGGCCUCACAGAUUUUUAAUUAAAAAAAGCAUAAAAAUGACAGUUGAAAAAUCGAUCUAAAAUGGUAAGACAUGGGAAGUUUUCCGGAUAUUAAAAUAUGAAGAAUUUUCUCAUGAAGGGCCUUGCACUUCGAUCUUUUGCUGCCUCUUAACAUGUUGUGAACAGAGAGUGCUUCUGAGUGUCGCUCCCAUUUUACCAAGAUGAAAAAUUAGGGAGGAGCAGAGUUCCCGCAAAACAGCAUAGCUGUGAUAAGUCUUUCGCGUUGCAAUCCCGUAGUAAAAGUUCAUUUGUCUAUGACCACUUUCAUACCUCCUCCGGCUGGUGGCCUUUACUCAGGGGUGGCUUUAGGUAUAGGCGAACAAAGCGGUCGCCUAAGGUCCCAUAUUUUGUGAAGGCCAUAUUUUUUAAAUUUUUUUGAUAAUUCUCAUUUUUUUAAGUUACGUAUUUUAGGAAAUCAAAAAGCUUAUUAAUAUCUCUCUAAUUAUUAAUUAUCCUACAGUUAAGAAUUAAUUUUUUAUGAAAAAUCUAUAUUUGAUAACAUUAAUGUUAAAUAGAUAUAACUAAUAAUAUUAUUUAAUCAUUAAUUCAUUCAUUAUUAGUCUUUCAAAAAUAAAUUAAUUAAUUAUCUUUUCAAUUUCCUCAAAAAAAUUAAUUAUUUAAUGUUAGAAUAUUUGACUUUUAGUAUUUCUUUUAAUUUCCAUUAAAAACUUUGUAAUCUCAAAAAUCAGUAAAUAAAAAUUUUUUUUCCUCACUUCUCUAAAAAGAAAAAUAUUAUAUUCAUUGGUUCAUUUAAAAAAAUCAAUUUAUAGAAAUACAAAGUCCAUUUCUAUUAUCUGAUCAUUAAUUUAUCAUCUCAACUUUUUAUAUUCUAUCAUUCUAAAUAUCCUAUUUGAAAAUAAUAUUAUUUGUAUUUAUUUGAUUGUUUAUUUUGUAAUAAUUUUAAUGGAAUAAAAAAUGUCUUCUUAACUUUUUUUUUAGGUUUUAUUUUUAAAAUUCAAGAAUUACAAAUGAAAUAAAUUUUGAGCUUUUUUUUUUAUUUCUUUGAGUAUUGAAAUUGCAAAACAAAUAGAGGCCUCAUAAAAAAAUUUCGCCUAAGGCCCCAAACACUCUAAAGCCGGCCCUGCCUUUACUAUGCAUGUCCAUCAUAGUCCGAUAAGCAAGCAUAUAAAAUUUUAAUCCGGACUAAUUCGUCCAAUUUCCUCAUAACAUGCAUUACGCUCUCCAUAGCACCUGCUCUGCAGUAGGCAUAAAGCAUGCAAUUUAAAUCACAUUUGUCAUGCUUGACUUCAAAAUACCCAGCCAAUUUGCCUCUUCAACAUCAACCGGACCACCACGUCCUAGUUCUUCCGGUUCCCUCAAUCAACAUCAACCGUUGAUUGUACGAUGCUUUAAAUCCUAUGGUUAUUAUUUUUUUCCAUAUUUUUAAUUUCAUGGGGUUUAUCAAUGGAACUGGUGCGUAGUAGUCGUAGCCUUAAUUAAUUUAGAAUACUUUUGAGUUGCGUUAACAGGCAGCAGUCACAAUCAACUUCAUCGCUUUGUAAAUUUCCAUUACCACAGAGUCAACAGUCAGGCUCAUGAAAAGAAAUUAUUUGUAUUUUUCUUAUUAGCAUAAAAUAAAUAAUGAAAUAAAAAUAAAGAUUUUAAUAUUUGAAUUUUGAUUUAAGUCCUAACUUAUGUGUAGCUAGAGGCGAAGUUUUGAGAGGACUAGAAAGAUUGAACCCAAGUCUCUACCCUCAUAUUUUAUAAACACAGACGACAUUGUUGGAUAUUUGUUUCUAGAAAUGAAUAUGAUAAUAGAAGAUAAUUAAAAUGGACUAAUCCAACAAUUAGGCGCUCCUUCUUUAAGCUAACCCAAUAAUUUGGAACUCAUUUUUUUGUUAUAUUUACUUUUUUAUCCUUGUAACUUUUUUCUUUAAAUGCCACAGCUCUAAUUUCUAUCCUCAUUUAAUUUAAAUGGGUACGAUUUGUCAAAUGCGAUUUAAAUGGGUGGUGCAUGUAUACUGAAAGUAGCCCUUGUGCUUAGCAUGCUAUGAACCAUGCUUGAAUAAUCGAGUAUAACUGCAUCCAUCCUCAUCUUGUAGGAAUUGGAAUGAUCCUGACUUAAGAAUAUGCAUAUACUGACGACUUUUAUUCUCAAUAAAAGCAACAUAUAUAAAUAUCAUUUUCUUUUCAUUUAUAGACCUCGAUGAAUGGGGGAGUUUAUUAUAUUAUAGAAAAGCGAUCCCCCAAUAGAAAGAAAAGUCUGGCCAACAUCAACUGAAACUGCACUCUGGGAAUUCAUCAGCCUUUGGUGCUGUGAAAGCCAUGUGUUUGUCCUCCAAGGGCAUGGGCUGAAAAAGCCAUGUAGAAGCUACAUCCAUAGUCUCUUGGUUUUGAGCACCGUGCCCAUCUCCGUGUAGAUACAUAAAAUGGGACAUUCUCACAAGAUUCAACAUGAAGUCAACUGUAUUUUGAGAUAAGGGAGAAUCUUUAUCAGCUCUGUAUGCAUUCACCUUCUUCCACAUCUGUCUCAUCAUAUCCUUGAUGUGUUCACGAGCAACUUCCUCCGAGGCACCAGUUUCAUGCAUGUAACACUGGAUUGAUUUCGGAACAUCCCCUCUCUGUAUCUCAUCCUGAUGAAUUAUUGGGGAAAACAAUUACACAAUCAAUUCGUGUAUAGAGGAUUAAUUCAAUUUCUAUCUUCUUAAGAAUCAAAAGAAAAUAAAAGAAAACAUACCGACGAAGUUCCCAAAUCAUCUUGAAGACGAAAAAUCUUGCAUGACCAGCGAACGAAAUCUGGAUUGCUUUCUAGAAAUUCUAGUUCCUUCUGAAUGAUUGGAUUUGUACCAGAAAGGUACGCACUCAUUGUUACUAUAGGGCCUGCUAUUGACACCAAUCCAUUUUCCAAGAAUUCUCCCAGUGUUGGUGUGUACUUACUAUGGUACCAUUUCGCCUCCACUAAGCCGGCUUGUAUUAAGCCAAGCCACUGAUGCACAUGAAAUAGAAAAUAAAGCUAGUUACAAUUUAUUAUUUUUGAGACAAAAACAUCGUAAUUUAAAAAGGAUAAAUCAAAGGAACGGAACGGCGGGAGAGGCAAAAUUAACAUUUUACAUACUGAAUUUUUAAUACUCCGAAGCAUAUCAAAAUCCUGUUGUUUGAGUACGUAAUAAGCAAAUUCAUUAACAAAGUUGUAAAGCGCAAAAAACCACAAUUUCAUGUAGUCCGGAAGGUGGUUCAAAGCAUAAUGGAUGUCCCACCUGUAGAAAAGAGAAAAAAAAUAUUAUAAAUGGUCUACUAAUUUGAGUCUUGAGAAGUAGCAGGCACCUAGCUUGCAAUUGAAUCAAUCGAUUAAAUAUAACAUUAGUUUGCCAACAAACCUCUCAACAGCAGCAGUGAAUAGCUCAAGUUCGUCCAAAGUUCCAUAAACAUCAUAAAUGUCAUCAAUCACUGUAAUUAGAGCUAUUGCAAUUGUGACUGUUUGGGAGAAAUACGUCGACGAGACCAGGCAUGGUGAGCAGAUAUCUGAUGGCAGAGUUCUGCGAACCGGUGUGUUCCGUAAAAGCCUGGUGCGCGGGGGAACAGGAGCAAAAAUAUCCUGCUCGUCCACGAGCACGUCAUCCGCGAGGCAAAUUUCCUGUAAGAGGCAUAAGGCCAUUCCGGCUAGAGGUCGAGAGGCGAGGAGACCCGGUCGACGGCAGUAGGCAAGGCAUGCUCUCCAGCCCGAGAAUCUAGGCACGACAGCCACGCUUUCCCCAGAACCGUGGCGUAACACGCAAGAUCCCACGUUUGCCCAUAACGCAGCAGUCGGAGUCCCAUACCGUCCCCCAAAAAAGCGGAAACAAGAUCUCACAAAACCACGACAGCCACGCUUUCCCCAGAACCGUGGCGUAACACGCAAGAUCCCACGUUUGCCCAUAACGCGGCAGUCAGAGUCCCGUACCGUCUCGAAGAAAGCAGAAAACUGGGAUUCAAAGGAAGCCUAUAAAAAGGUAGCCAACGAAGGUAAAUGGGUUAGCAUUUUUGAGAUUAGAAAAGAAAUUCUAAAAGAGAGAAAACAACCUAACAACCAUAAGAUUUGUGGCAAGUGUUCCCCGAACCUUCAUAUCUGACUUGAGCGUCGGAGGGUUUGCGCCGGGAAAACAACCGGCGUACUCUGACCUGUCUGUGUGCGCAGGAACCUCUGGAGAAGAAGCCUUGCGAGGAGACCCCCUGGUCGUGAUGAAGUUGAUCGAGCAGAGAUCCUGGUCGUAGAACGAGGAGAACCGGAAUCUCGCAUCAACAUUUUGGCGCCGUCUGUGGGGACCAGAGCAAAAAGCUUCUGUUGAUAGCAAGAAGAGGGGUGAAGCAAGUGAAAAGCAAUGGAGACAGGAGGAAGUAGUGCACAAGGGGGUGAUAGGAGGCUUAACGAUUCCGUGACGCUGAGGGAGAUAGUCAGUGAAGCACGGGGAAAAGUCAUGUUCGACCGGAUGGAACGGAUGGAAAAGCAAAUGGAGACCUUGACAACCAUCCUGCAUGAGCUGCGGAGCGAGCGAAGGGUAACCCAAGAGGGAAGGGUGAGAGGCGGUGGAGUGGCACCAGGUCCCGAUAGUGCGGGGAGAAGUCAAACCACUGGGAGAUUUGGUGGUGAGAGAGGUAACGUACCUCUGCGGGGACAAUUUCAUAGAGAAAGAGAGCAGUCCCCGGCAAGACAGACUGGUGACGAGGACGACGGGGUGGUGAAUGCAGAGGAAACAGAGUUGAGGCAACACUUGCAUGAUGUAGAGCAAGAGUGGGAUCAAGUUGCAGCACGUGACCCUGGUCGUGCAGUGCAGCUGGAGGAGGAAGUGCGCAGACUAGCGCAGAUAAUUGACGACAUGCAAGGAAGGAACAGAGCCCCUGGUUGGAGGAUAAUGCUGGACGGAGAAUCACCGCUCGCAGCAGAGAUCAUGAGGGCAGUUAUUCCGAGAGAUUUCCGCCUCCCAGACCUCAGAUACUCGGGAAGAACUGAUCCGCUGGUGCACAUAGAGCGCUUCAACGACAUAACUGGGGUACAAGGAUUAUCUCAAUCCCAAAGGUGCAGGGUGUUCCCACUAUCCCUUGAGGGACGUGCACGAGAAUGGUACAGGAAACUCCCUCGGGGCAGCAUUAAAACCUUCGAGCAGAUGUGCCAGGAGUUCGCGGAGCAGUUUAGUGGGGCAAUGGCACCGGAAGAUGACAUGAUGGAGCUGAAAAGCAUGAGACAGGGGGAGCAAGAAACCCUUCGGGAAUUCAUCGAGAGGUUUCAUCGGACUGUCCUCGACUUGGGAGCCUUCAACCACCCUCAGGCGUUAAGGGGAUUGAAAGAAGGGGUGAAGAUAGGAAGGCUGUGGUACAAUUUGAGAAGCCCAGCUAUUCAAACGUAUGCAGCCGCAUACGAACAGGCUAAGAGAGACAUCGAGAUUGAAGAGGAGAAGGCUGCACGGAUUAAGAUAGACCAGUUAGAAGGGUUGGGGAGGAAAGAGAAGAAAGCAUUACCGGGGAAUGGGCUGAUCAGGAGAAGGGACCACCAUGCCUCCGGUAGUGGAGCAGGAGGUCGGGUAACCGCUUACCAGCCUCAUCAGAGGCCACCACAGUAUCAGCGCAGCAGGGCGCAACCUCCUCGUUCCCCAGCUAGGGAGCCUUGGAGAAGGCAUGAGUCGGCAUCUGGUGGUCUUCAUCAACAUCCCCACGGUAGCAGAGCGAGCAGACCAGAAAUACUUCCACCGCCCCCAACUCAGAGCGGGGCAAACAGAGAAAGAGCAGUGCACCUGAUCGACCAGAACCCGGACUAUGGGCGGUACACUUCCUUGAAGAUGUCCCUGGAUGAGGUGUACGAGGCCAUAAAGGAUCGAGGGCUGCUGCACCUCCCUACACCAAUAACAAAGCUACCCAACAGGAGGGAUAGAGGACGUUAUUGUAAGUUCCAUGGCACCCAUGGCCAUACCACAGCAGAGUGUAGAGAUCUCAAGACCCAGGUCGAAGAUUUGGUGAGAAAUCGGUACCUGGACGAGUUUAUGGAUGGGACUUUCCCGAUGGUGGCCACAACAGGUGAAGGGGAGCAGAGUGGUAGAAACUUGAGGCGCGAGCAGCCCGCAGUGAGGGUGAUAGCUGGGGGCCCAACAUUGGCCGGAGAUUCCAACAGAUCGAGAAAAAAUUAUGCUAGGUACGCCAUGACCAGUAAGAGGUACUCUUCAACACCCCAGCAGCCAAACGAGCAAGGGUCAGGCAAGUGCCAAUCAUGUGGACGGAUGAGGAUGAGGAAGGGAUUCUAUACCCCCACGAGGAUGCUUUGGUCAUCAAGGCUAUUGUCGCUAGCAAGAAGUUUGACCGGAUACUGAUUGAUACAGGGAGCUCAAUUGAUGUGUUAUUUAAGUCAACCCUGGAAGAGAUGGGAAUAGCCGACCGGAAGUUGGAAUACACCAAUACCUCCUUGAAGGGGUUCGGAGGAGGGAAGCUGGUCCCUCUGGGCGUGGUCGAGCUGCCUAUCACAAUUGGGAGCUCCCCGACAGAAAGAACAAUGGUACUGGACUUUGUCGUAGUGGAUGAGGAAGGUCCUUACCAGAUGAUCCUAGGUCGGCCAUUUUUAAGGAUGAGCAAAGCGGUGUUGUCCAACCAUUAUCUAGCUCUGAAGUACCGGGUGAAUGGGGUAGUAGGAGUGGUACGAGGAGACCAGAGGAUCGCAAGAAGCUGCUACUCCUCGGCAGCAAGGGAAGCAAUGCAGAUAACAUCCCUCGAUACCCGAGUGGAAAACAAAAAGGGCAGACAAGAACCUGUAGAGGAUCUGGAAACGGUAAGCCUGGGACCAGAGAACCCGGGAAAGACGAUCAGAAUCGGGUCGAGACUUAAGGGAGAGCAAAAGCAGGAGUUGGUAAAAUGCUUAGAGGCUCAUGCUGAUGUGUUUGCUUGGACACAUGAAGACAUGCCAGGGAUUGACCCUGAGGUAGCAUGUCAUAAGCUGGCAAUAAAGAAAGGUGCUCGGGCAGUAAGGCAGAAGAGGAGGUGCUUCAAUCAGGAGAGGUAUGAGGCUAUAAAUGGCGAGGUGGAGAAGCUCUUGAGAGCAGGGUUCAUUCGGGAAGUCAGUUACCCUGAGUGGAUAUCGAAUGUGGUGUUGGUAAAGAAGGCAAACGGCAAGUGGAGGAUGUGUGUGGAUUUCACAGACCUCAAUAAGGCGUGCCCAAAAGACAGCUUCCCUUUACCAAAGAUCGAUCAGCUAGUAGAUUCAACGGCUGGACAUGGUCUGCUUAGCUUCAUGGACGCGUUCUCGAGAUACAACCAGAUCCCCAUGUACGAGCAGGAUGAGGAGAGCACGGCUUUCAUCACUAACCAAGGUCUGUUCUGUUACAGGGUUAUGCCAUUCGGUCUCAAAAAUGCUGGGGCCACCUAUCAAAGGCUGGUGAACAAAGUCUUUAAGCCAUUGAUUGGGAAAACCAUGGAGGUGUACGUGGAUGACAUGAUCACCAAGUCCAAAAUCCCAAAGGAACACGUCAGACACCUCGAGGAGACAUUCGAGCUUUUGAGGAAGUAUAAGAUGAAGCUCAACCCGGAGAAGUGUGCUUUUGGGGUGGAGUCAGGGAAAUUCCUUGGAUUCAUGGUGAGCCAUAGGGGGAUUGAAGCAAAUCCCGAGAAAAUCCAGGCGAUUGUGCAAAUGACGUCUCCUCGUAACCUGAAGGAGAUGCAGAGCCUCACGGGGAGGUUGGCGGCGUUGAGCAGAUUCGUAUCCAAGGCUACAGAUAAGUGUCAGCCAUUCUUUCAAGUGAUAAGGAGGGGAAAGAAAACGGAAUGGACCCCAGAAUGUGAGGAGGCCUUCCGGAACUUGAAGCGAUACUUGCAGCAAGCUCCGCUGCUGUCCACACCGAGGGAGGGGGACAAGUUAUAUCUGUAUUUGGCGAUAUCGGAUCGGGCCGCCAGUUCUGUUCUGGUGAGAGAGGAAGAAGGAGUUCAGUAUCCGAUAUACUACACCAGCAAGUCCCUGCUCGACGCUGAGACCAGAAUCCCAAUCCUCGAAGAAUCAAAGGCAUGCAAAGGCUCGACAAAGUCUCAAAGCCUGUCUUAUGGCGAGACAGAAGCCAAGCAUGCCAGGAUCUGCUCGACCACGAGAAGGCGAGCAGACUCCAAAGCAUUCGAAGAAAUUCCUGAGGCAUGCAAAGGCUCACCAAGUCUCAAAGCCUGUCUUAUGACGAGACAGAAGCCAAGCAUGCCAGGAUCUGCUCGACCACAAGAAGGCGAGCAGACUCCAAAGUAUUCGAAGAAAUUCCUGAGGCAUGCAAAGGCUCACCAAGUCUCACAGCCUGUUUUAUGGCGAGACAGAUGCCAAGCGUGCCAGGAUCUGCUCGACCGCGCGAAGGCGAGCCGAAUCCCAGGCAUUGAAGAAUCUUCAAAGGCGUGUGGCAAAACCAUGAGCAAAGUCGGAACCUGCUCGUCUAGACAAAGACAAGCAGAUUCUCAAACGAAAAUCAGCUCAUAAUUACAACACAAGAAACAUUUUACAGCGCCGAAUCCCGAGGGUCUCAUAACCGUCGGUUUGAAAUUCAAAUGGAGGGGGGGAUUUCUGCCACGUCACCUCGUCCGCAAUUAAAUGCGACGUGAUUCUUGGCAGCCUUUUCCAAUCCCACGCGAGCGAGUACUAACGAGUUUCUACUGCUGGUCCACUACAUUACCCAACACCAGAAACUGGGGGACCGGUGUUUGGGAGAAAUACGUCGACGAGACCAAGCAUGGUGAGUAGAUAUCUGAUGGCAGAGUUCUGCGAACCGGUGUGUUCCGUAAAAGCCUGGUGCGCGGGGGAACAGGAGCAGAAAUAUCCUGCUCGUCUAUGAGCACGUCAUCCGCGAGGCAAAUUUCCUGUAAGAGGCAUAAGGCCAUUCCGGCUAGAAGUCGAGAGGCGAGGAGACCCGGUCGACGGCAGUUGGCAAGGCAUGCUCUCCAGCCCGAGAAUCUAGGCACGACAGCCACGCUUUCCCCAGAACCGUGGCGUAACACGCAAGAUCCCACGUUUGCCCAUAAUUAUAACCAGAAGGUGAACAUACGGCAAUUCAGGGUCGGAGACUGGGUACUGAGAAGAGUGAAUCAGAGCACCAAAGAUUCGACUCAAGGAGUUCUGGGACCGAAUUGGGAAGGGCCAUAUAGAGUCAAGCAGAUAGCGGGACCCGGAGCUUACAAGCUGGUUCGCACGGACGGCCACGAGGUGAAACGCCCAUGGAACGCAUCACACCUCCGAAAAUACUUCCAGUAAGACUUGUUCACAUUUGAAAGCUAUUUUUGCUCAUGCUCAUUAUCGUUUAUCUUUCACGCUUUAUGUCCAAACAAUUUCAUGUAAGUCGAAUCCUGCCAUUAAUGGAACGUCGAGGAAUUUCUUUCGCUUGAAACCGAGAAAAUUCCCAAGGCAUGCAAAGGCUCAUCAAAGUCUCAAAGCCUGUCUUAUGGCGAGACAGAAGCCAAGCAUGCCGGGACCUGCUCGGCCACGAGAAGGCGAGCAGAAUCCCAAUCCUCGAAGAAUCAAAGGCAUGCAAAGGCUCGACAAAGUCUCAAAGCCUGUCUUAUGGCGAGACAGAAGCCAAGCAUGCCAGGAUCUGCUCGACCACGAGAAGGCGAGCAGACUCCAAAGCAUUCGAAGAAAUUCCUGAGGCAUGCAAAGGCUCACCAAGUCUCAAAGCCUGUCUUAUGGCGAGACAGAAGCCAAGCAUGCCGGGAUCUGCUCGGCCACGAGAAGGCGAGCAGAAUCCCAAUCCUUGAAGAAUCAAAGGCAUGCAAAGGCUCAUCAAAGUCUCAAAGCCUGUCUUAUGGCGAGACAGAAGCCAAGCAUGCCAGGAUCUGCUCGACCACGAGAAGGCAAGCAGACUCCAAAGCAUUCGAAGAAAUUCCCAAGGCAUGCAGAGGCUCAUCCAAGUCUCAAAGCCUGUCUUAUGGCGAGACAGAAGCCAAGCAUGCCAGGAUCUGCUCGGCCACGAGAAGGCGAGCAGCAUCCCAAUCCUUGAAGAAUCAAAGGCAUGCAAAGGCUCAUCAAAGUCUCAAAGCCUGUCUUAUGGCGAGACAGAAGCCAAGCAUGCCAGGAUCUGCUCGGCCACGAGAAGGCGAGCAGCAUCCCAAUCCUUGAAGAAUCAAAGGCAUGCAAAGGCUCAUCAAAGUCUCAAAGCCUGUCUUAUGGCGAGACAGAAGCCAAGCAUGCCAGGAUCUGCUCGGCCACAAGAAGGCGAGCAGCAUCCCAAUCCUUGAAGAAUCAAAGGCAUGCAAAGGCUCGACAAAGUCUCAAAGCCUGUCUUAUGGCGAGACAGAAGCCAAGCAUGCCAGGAUCUGCUCGACCACGAGAAGGCGAGCAGACUCCAAAGCAUUCGAAGAAAUUCCCAAGGCAUGCAAAGGCUCGACAAAGUCUCAAAGCCUGUCUUAUGGCGAGACAGAAGCCAAGCAUGCCGGGAUCUGCUCGGCCACGAGAAGGCGAGCAGAAUUCCAAUCCUCGAAGAAUCAAAGGCAUGCAAAGGCUCGACAAAGUCUCAAAGCCUGUCUUAUGGCGAGACAGAAGCCAAGCAUGCCAGGAUCUGCUCGACCACGAGAAGGCGAGCAGACUCCAAAGCAUUCGAAGAAAUUCCCAAGGCAUGCAAAGGCUCAUCCAAGUCUCAAAGCCUGUCUUAUGGCGAGACAGAAGCCAAGCAUGCCAGGAUCUGCUCGGCCACGAGAAGGCGAGCAGCAUCCCAAUCCUUGAAGAAUCAAAGGCAUGCAAAGGCUCAUCAAAGUCUCAAAGCCUGUCUUAUGGCGAGACAGAAGCCAAGCAUGCCAGGAUCUGCUCGGCCACGAGAAGGCGAGCAGCAUCCCAAUCCUUGAAGAAUCAAAGGCAUGCAAAGGUUCGACAAAGUCUCAAAGCCUGUCUUAUGGCGAGACAGAAGCCAAACAUGCCAGGAUCUGCUCGACCACGAGAAGGCGAGCAGACUCCAAAGCAUUCGAAGAAAUUCCCAAGGCAUGCAAAGGCUCGACAAAGUCUCAAAGCCUGUCUUAUGGCGAGACAGAAGCCAUGCAUGCCGGGAUCUGCUCGGCCACGAGAAGGUGAGCAGAAUCCCAUUCCUCGAAGAAUCAAAGGCAUGCAAAGGCUCGACAAAGUCUCGAAGCCUGUCUUAUGGCGAGACAGAAGCCAAGCAUGCCAGGAUCUGCUCGACCACGAGAAGGGGAGCAGACUCCAAAGCAUUCGAAGAAAUUCCUGAGGCAUGCAAAGGCUCACCAAGUCUCAAAGCCUGUCUUAUGACGAGACAGAAGCCAAGCAUGCCAGGAUCUGCUCGACCACGAGAAGGCGAGCAGACUCCAAAGCAUUCGAAGAAAUUCCUGAGGCAUGCAAAGGCUCACCAAGUCUCACAGCUUGUUUUAUGGCGAGACAGAUGCCAAGUGUGCCAGGAUCUGCUCGACCGCGCGAAGGCGAGCCGAAUCCCAGGCAUUGAAGAAUCUUCAAAGGCGUGUGGCAAAACCAUGAGCAAAGCCGGAACCUGCUCGUCUAGACAAAGACAAGCAGAUUCUCAAACGAAAAUCAGCUCAUAAUUACAACACAAGAAACAUUUUACAGCGCCGAAUCCCGAGGGUCUCAUAACCGUCGGUUUGAAAUUCAAAUGGAGGGGGGGAUUUCUGCCACGUCACCUCGUCCGCAAUUAAAUGCGACGUGAUUCUUGGCAGCCUUUUCCAAUCCCACGCGAGCGAGUACUAACGAGUUUCUACUGCUGGUCCACUACAUUACCCAACACCAGAAACUGGGGGACCGGUGUUUGGGAGAAAUACGUCGACGAGACCAGGCAUGGUGAGCAGAUAUCUGAUGGCAGAGUUCUGCGAACCGGUGUGUUCCGUAAAAGCCUGGUGCGAGGGGGAACAGGAGCAAAAAUAUCCUGCUCGUCCACGAGCACGUCAUCCGCGAGGCAAAUUUCCUGUAAGAGGCAUAAGGCCAUUCCGGCUAGAGGUCGAGAGGCGAGGAGACCCGGUCGACGGCAGUUGGCAAGGCAUGCUCUCCAGCCCGAGAAUCUAGGCACGACAGCCACGCUUUCCCCAGAACCGUGGCGUAACACGCAAGAUCCCACGUUUGCCCAUAACGCAGCAUAACGCAGCAGUCGGAGUCCCAUACCGUCCCCCAAAAAAGCGGAAACAAGAUCUCACAAAACCACGACAGCCACGCUUUCCCCAGAACCGUGGCGUAACACGCAAGAUCCCACGUUUGCCCAUAACGCGGCAGUCAGAGUCCCGUACCGUCUCGAAGAAAGCGGAAAACUGGGAUUCAAAGGAAGCCUAUAAAAAGGUAGCCAACGAAGGUAAAUGGGUUAGCAUUUUUGAGAUUAGAAAAGAAAUUCUAAAAGAGAGAAAACAACCUAACAUCCAUAAGAUUUGUGGCAAGUGUUCCCCGAACCUUCAUAUCUGACUUGAGCGUCGGAGGGUUUGCGCCGGGAAAACAACCGGCGUACUCUGACCUGUCUGUGUGCGCAGGAACCUCUGGAGAAGAAGCCUUGCGAGGAGACCCCCUGGUCGUGAUGAAGUUGAUCGAGCAGAGAUCCUGGUCGUAGAACGAGGAGAACCGGAAUCUCGCAUCAACACUUCUGUAAAAGGCGGAGUUUGCACCUAAGAAUAAUUUAAUAUACAUGUGAUUAAAUUGUACAAGUUAUGUAAAUUAUAAAAUCAAAUCUUUGAUGUGUGUGUGUGUGUGUGUGUCUGUCUAUAUAUAUAUGAGUUAUGCAAUCAAAUGGAUACCCUGAAAUGUCUUUAAGUUCUUCCUGGUAAAUUGCCUGCAAAGUGUUAAACUCCAACUUAGCGAGCUCAAGUAAAAGGUGGUUCUUGUCCUCUCUUUUCUCAUAAACGUGUAUGAACCACCUUGCCUCCAACAUUGGGACUUUCCAAUGCAGAGGGAGCUCCACUGCACGCUUCGCUUGUUCUGCGACAAAUACAUGCUCUUCCUGAUCAUCACGUCUUUAAGAUGUUUACUGGUAAAUUGCCAGGCCUCCUCCAUGAUGCUUUCUCCUUCUAAGCUGUAAUACGAGGCUUUGUGCAAGCUCAGUAUUCCCUUGAAAUCAUCACAAAUGAAGCCUCCCUGGUCGUCUUUUAAACCAUUGAAAACCUCUGCAGCACUCAACCAAGAAACGUUACAUUCGUCAAAAUUUUUGAUACAUCUAUUAAUUAGAGAGAUAGAGAAAAAAAACUGAUUUGGGUUUCGCCCAUUUCUUUACAUUUAAAAAAAAAAGAAAAAAAAACAGAGAGAUCGAUUCAAGUAUUCAGAUCAUGCAUGUGCAUGAUCUGAAGGAAGCGAAUUAAUGAAAUAUACCUUGAGAAACAGGAUAGCCAUGUUGUCUAAGUAGUCUGAAUUCAAGGGAGGUUACAUACAGAUUUUCUUUUCUCCAAUUAUAAUCUUUAUUAUUGUUGUAGAUAUUAUUCAAUAUGUUCCUAAUCUCAGUCUCAAAACGAUAAGCCAAUCCAAGUCUUUGCAAGUUAUCAAUCAGCUCCAACUGAUCCAGAGGCUCGAUUACAUCUUUAAUCGCUAUCUUCACUUUUCCCUUCAGCUCUUCUGCUCGUCUUUUGCAUGCUUCAUCCUGUACACGCACAGCAUUUAGUUUUUAGUUAUUCAUGGUCCCAAUUUGAAAUGAACAAAGGAAAUUAAUACGUAAUAGUAAUAAUCAAUACCGUAUACUUGCUAUUCAGCCACUGCAAAAAAUCAUGGUCCCAAAUUGAAGGUUGGUAGUUUGCUGAUCUCCUAUCAACUGUCAAAUUAUCAUAUUUGGCGCUGACAAGGCAUUGGACUGGCUUAUUUUUGGCCAUGAUUCUGAUGGCUGCUUUAUUUGUUGUAAGAGGAAGACAUUUGAAACCAUUUACAGAGGUAACCAAGGUUGAGGGAUUAAUGCAAGAAGACAUUGGAUAUACAGAUGUUGUGUAAGCUAGCUUACUGUCAAAUUAUAUAUAUAUAUAGGCAGAGGAGAAGUUCAAGUGAUUUAUUUUUCGUGCUCAUUUUUUCUGAGUUUUGAAAGCGUUUAAUUUUUAAGUCUUAAUAGUACAAAGGUAUUUUAUUCAUUUGGGGGAAAAAAAAAGGAGUACAUCAUACUGUGCGAACGAGGUCAUUAUUGUACCAGAAGACACAUACAUCAUCCAUAUAUUCGGAUGAAUGUUGUAUAAUCUUUAUUUAUUUAUCUUUUUUUUUUCCUGCAUACAAAUUUUUUAAAGAGUCUUUCAAUAAACUACACAAUAAAUGCACGCAGAAAUGACAAGAAAUUCAUAAAUUCAAUUCUACUAAUAAAAGUUCUAUUUAUUACAUUAAAAUCUUGUUUUAUGUAGAAAUAAGAAUAUACAAAGUAAAUUUAAGGGAAAAAAAAGGCAUACAAAGUUGCAAACAAUAUCUUAAUGUUGAGCACUAACAUCAAAAUUCUAUCUGUUACAGUUAUAAAGUACUUUUGCGGAAAACAAAUUAAUAAAUUUCAAAGUGAUUAUCAACAAAAAGUUGAUUGGAGAUAAUGGAUUUUAAUAUAUUGUAGAUUGUGAUCAUUUGUAAUAAUUUCAAAAAACUUCCAUUUAACAGCGGUUGGUGAAUGGGUGUUGUAAAAUAAUUUUAAUAUUUGACAACAAGCGAAAGAAUGUUGUUAAAAACUCUUCAAUAGAUGUUCAAUCUCACAACGUUCUACAAAAGCGCGUUGUGAAAAAAUUCUAAUAAUUGACAACUAGUGUAAAAUCGUUAUAAAUUUUUAAUCCCAUUCAAUCCAUGAAUUAGUAAAAUUAAUCUAAAUUCAAUUCAUAAUUCUGCAGAUUAGAAGUGGAUUUGAUACAAUCCAUAUUCAUUCCACUUUUGCGAAUUCGAUACGGAUUUAAAAAAAAAUUCUUUCUAUUCAAUUCAUAAAAUAAUUAAAUAAAAAUUUUAAUUAUAAAAAUAAUUUUACUGCAUGCCAAUCAAAUUCAAAUUUAAACAAGAUCUAAAUAAAUCAAUAGUUUAAAUACGGGUUUAGGAAUGCUAUGUUAAUAGGGUCUUUAUACCGCCACCCCAACAUCUAUUAAAUCAAUCAACAUACGUUUUGAAACAAAUAUAAUCCGGAAGCCAUAUACCAUUUCAGCUUUACUCCCUAUUCUCUCUUAAAUAAAACUAUGAAAACACUGGAGUAAUUGGUUUCAGCUUCGGUGUAGGAUAGGUUGGAGGUGAUGACACGCGACGACAGCUACUGAAAGACUAUUCGUUUUUUAAGAUGCCAUUCAAAGUUUCGAACUUUAGCACACCAAAAUAAAAAAUCCUGAUGUUUCUGGAUCAGUGGAUGAAAAUCAACUUAAGUUUUAGAAUUAAAUCAAUACAAAAGUUGAAAUUUGAAAGCUUAUAUAAUUAAUUGUUGUCAACGUCCACCCUAACUAGAUUUUAACCUAUUUACUAGUAGUAUAACAUUUUUAAAUUUUAAAUUCUUUAAAUUAUAUACACACACGGAUUUGCUGAUUUUCAGGGAUUUGGAGAAGCAAGUCCAUUUCAUCAAUUGUCGAUUUUAAAAUUUUUCAAUCCAUCUAAUCUGUCAAUUCAGCUCUUCUGCUCGUCUUUUGUAUGUUUCAUCCUGUACACGCACAGCAUUUUGUUUUUAGCUAUUCAUGGUGCCAAUUUGAAAUGAACAAAGGAAAUUAAUAUGUAAUAAUAAUAAUAUUGAAUACCGUAUAGUUGCUAUUCAAUGACUGCAAAAAAUCAUGGUCCCAAAUUGAAGGUUGGUAGUUUGCUGAUCUCCUAUCAACUGUCAAAUUAUCAUAUUUGGCGCUGACAAGGCAUUGGACCGGCUUAUUUUUUGCCAUGAUUCUGAUGGCUGCUUUAUUUGUUGCAAGAGGAAGACAUUUGAAACCAUUUACAGAGGUAACCAAGGUUAAGGGAUUAAUGGAAGAAGACAUUGGAUAUACAGAUGUAGUGUAAGCUAGCUUACAGUUAUACUUGGCAAAGAUUCUCAAAUUAUUCUAUGGUUUGUG
rnacentral:lncRNA from 1 species